rnacentral:lncRNA from 1 species
AUUUGUGUACUUGUCCAAAGCUAGUUACAUGAAAUUGCACGCACAUGUUCAAGUGAGUUUAAACAAGUCUAAGCAGCACUCAGUUGCAAGUCCUUUAUUCCAGAAUUUCUCAUAGUACUCGGCAUAUGUGAAGUUCCUGUACAUGGCUGGGUGGUCAUAGUUGAUGAGCUCCUUGGCAGGCCCAAUUACUGCAUCUGGUGAUGGACAGUAGAAAGUUGGGAUCGAGAUUCUCUCUGAGUUACAGUUUACCACAGCCAUAAUUACCUGAUACCAAAUAAAAUGGUACAAAAGUUCAAAAUCAAUUCCAAAUUUUACUCGUAUCACAAAAGCCUUGUCACUCUACUUGGACAAGUCCCCCUUGCUAGUGAUAAAUGAGCUUAACUAUCUCCGGAGUGAUGCCAUAAUCUAUUAUUUCUAAUCAGGUGAGAAAAAAGACAAAGAAAUCAAGAUUUCACAAAGAGGAUUUUCUAGUAUGCUUUAGAAUUUGUAUACCCCAGAUGAUCUUUUGGCCAUUGAAUCCUUGGUCAACAAUCCAAUAACCAAAAAUCAAUUAAGAUAGAAUACAAUGAAGCAUAGUAGUAUUAGUUUUUAUUCAUAAGAUCCUUUAUUCAUGAUUCAUUAACCAAUAUCUAAUGAAGAGAUUUUGUUUGAUCAGAUACACCAAAACAUAAUAAAUUUAGGAUAUAGUAUUUACCUGCAUCAUAUCACCAAUGUUGACAAUGAAAGUGUUGGGAAUAGGGUUGACAGCAACCCACUUGCCAUUUCUAAGGACCUGCAAUCCAGGCACUUCAUCUUGGAGAAGGACAGUGAUUAGGUUGGCAUCAGUAUGUCCAGGCAAUCCAUAAGUCAACUCCGGCUGUGGACAAGGUGGAUAGUAAUUCAAAGCCAUAUGCUGCCCUUGCUUCCCCAAUGCCUUAACAAUACAGUUCUUUUCCAAGCCCAAACUCUCUGAUAUGGCCUCAAGCAAUCUCAGCACCAAUCCUCUCACAUUUGUGCAGUACUCACCCACUUGCUCCCUGUGAACAAAGUGCAGCUCAUUCAGUUGUGACUUAGAUGUAAUUAAUUAGAAACAAAUGACUCGUCUACGACUAUAUCCAAAGUUUGACAAGAUGAGCAUUUGUUUAGCAACAUAAGCGUGAUAAAAAAACGUAGUUGAGAUGAUGACAAAAAGGUGCCCUUAUUUAACUAAACUGAUAAAUUCAAUUGGAUAAUAUUUUCUUGUUAGACUGUGUAUGUGUGCUCAUAUUCACAUCUUAACAAUAUAAUAGUCUAGUUAGAAAACGUUGGUUUGAAUAUUUAAGUACUAGCAUAAGAUGAUGAAAAAGAAGGCAUCCUUAUUUACCUGAACAAUGGGGGAUUGUUAGGCCAUUCUUGGACAUAGUCUUGAAGAGGGUAGCAAUGGAGCCUAAGGAAGUCCCUCCAGUUGGAAAGUUUUUCAGUCCUGACGUUGAAACUGGUGGAGAGCCUAGUUGUUUUAGAAGGGUCAUCUGAGUACAUCUUCAACCUCUCGCUCUCUGGUAAUUGGAAAAACUCUCUUGCUAUAUUCAACAUGUUUUUGAUCAUUAUCUCUGGAACUCCAUGGUUUUUCACCUGAUAUAAAAAGGUUGGUGCAAAAUUUAGUCAUAAUAUGUAGUAGUACCUAUAUUCAUACUAAACAUGUAAUUAAGUAUAAAGUACAUGUAAUUAAUAAAGAAAUGGGAUAUAUAUAUAUAUAUAUAUAUAUAUAUAUAUAUAUAUAUAUAUAUAUUAACGAAGGCACUUGUCAAUAAGGUAUGCAGAGGGAGAAAAGAGGUGUGUCGACAUCAUUUCCCAAAAUAAAUGUAUAUAUAUAUGUGUGUGUGUUUUAAUUGUUACCUGAAAGAAACCAUCAGUCUGGCAUGCAAGACCAAUCUGUUCGAUAAUAUCAGAGUGCGUUGGGCCAUGGAGGUCCUUGAGAUCAAUGAGAGGAAUGGAGGAGGCAUCUGAUACCUGAAAAUCAGUGAGAUUUGGACGGUCGGAGAUGGGUCUGAUGUAGUUUGAAGGGACUUGGUUCACACCAAACAUGAGGUCUGUUAGCAGUAGGUUUGUUGUGGUGGCCAUUUUGCUUACGACUGGAGAUGGGUCCGAUGUAGUUUGGAUCCCUGUCCCUAUUUAUAGAAUAUGAGUUGGGUUUGGCCGUUCUAGUUGUCAGAUCGGCAUGCCCACCACCUUCUCACUAUGGAGUGCAGACAGAUUUGUCUGAGGUAAGCAAAUGACGUCCUUCUGCUAUGUCAUUCUCUAAUGCAAUUUGUUAGUUUAAAGGAAUAUUUAAUCAGAUGUCAUAUUGGGAAGUUUUUUUGAAAUGAGAUAACUUACGGCUGAAAAUAUUUAAUUUAAUUUAACAUAGUUUUGUUUUAUUAUUUCAAAAGCUUAAGAAAAAGUUAAAUAAAGCCGGAGUAUGCAUAGCUAGAGAAAUAUACUUUCUCCUCCUCUCAAUUUUUCUUUCACAAGAAUUGUAGUAUGCAUUGUGAUAUUUAAAACUGUAACAAGUUAAUAAUUUAAUUACAUAAUUUUUGUAUUUUGAAAGUAGAGAAAUUUGAAUUUAAAACGUCUAUUUAUUUUUUCAAAGAAAAAUAUCAAUAUAAUUAUUAGUUACACGUUUUCUUAUAUAAUGAACCUAGAAUUCAUUCAAAUUUUUAGCUGAAUGAAUAUCCAUACAUCAAUAAUAUUGGGCAGGUGUACAGAAUUGACAGGAGAAACGAAGAACAAAAAUCAGAAAAAUGAGUAGUUUGGCUGAUACGCAUGUCGAUGUGUUGGCAACACCACCGGUGAGUUAUCCAAUGCACCACGGGGAGAUGGAAAAUGGUAAACGAGUUAGGCAACUAGGCAAGAAAAUAAUUGGGCUGCCCCACACUUAGUCUUAGUCGGAAGCAAAUUAGAAGUUUAUCAGCUCUGUCGGCAGGUAAUAUGAAAUAAAGUCAAAUAUUUUAUUUUCAAUGAUGUAAUCAAAGUAGCAUCACAAUAUCGUCAUUCCCUACGAUCUCCAUGAUGUAACCCUCGUCUGCAUCCGAGCCAAAAUAAAAACAAGGACAAAGAAAAGAGACUGAAAAAAUCAGAGGCUACCAGUGUUCCAACGAUUUAAUAUUAAAAAAAAAAAAAAAAGGUCAACCGGUCACCCAAACUUGUGACAUGUUCAUCACAAGUGUAAAUCUCUCUCUGCGGUUUCUUUGUCCUCCCUCACUCUCCUCCAACUCCAUAGCACUAUCACCAACGCAUGCAAGAACCACAAACCUGAUAAAUUUGUGCCAUUUUUCUUCUUCUUUGGGAUGAAGUAUGCAUUUUAUAGAGUGGAACAAGGGAGCCCCCGGUGGGUAUUGAUCGUUAUGGAUGAAGAAAGGUUGAGGUUUUACUAUUAAAUUAAAGGAAAUUUUAUUUGAACCCAUAUAACUUCUCUUUACACCAAACUUAAAUUUUAAAUGUGAAUUAUCUUUUUUUAUCCUAUUGUAUAAUUACUAUCAAAUACAAGGUGAAAUUAAUAAUAAAACUAAAUUUUUUUAAUAAACCCAUGGUUGAUUCUAAAGACAACUGAAAAUCUAAGGCUCCUUCGAAUUGGGGAAUCAGGAAUAAAGAACUUGGAUUUAAGAAUUUGGACAAGCAUAAAACCAUCCUCUCCUACUCCCCGCAACCUUAAAAUCAUCACUCUCUCUUCUACCAGAACAAUGUCAACAAGGUUAAAACCGAGGACAAAUCUCAAUGGCUAGAGAAAUUGCUCUUGUUGGCCUUAACCCACUUCUACCGACUUUCUAGAAGAAUGAAAAAUAACAAUUAACAUUUUCAUAAAGAUGAGGGGGGUAGCUUAAUAAACAUUACAAACUAGACAGUAAUCGUUCAAUAUAAUUUGUCUUUGUAUAAUUAUUAUUACUACUGUGCGUGUAUUUAUAAAGGGGUGUGAUAUCCACACACCCCUUUUUAUUUCUCUCACACCAUUUUAAUUUUCGGUUAUCGAAUUGGAUGAAUUGAAGAAGAUCAAAUGACAGAAAUUAGCAGCGGGUGUGGGAGAAGUAAAAAGGGGUGUGUGGAUAGCACACCCCUUUAUAAAAUGAUUUUGAGUUAUGGAGUAGAGUUUAAUUAUUGUGGCAAUGGGAGUGACUGAAGCGGCAAUGGGAUGAACAAUGGGAUCCAAUUCAGAUAAAGCACACUUUGAAUGAAUUGCAGAACAAUGAUUUAGAGUUUUUGUUUUCUAAAUGGGUCUACAGAUAAAUUUACAUAUUAAAUUGGGUUUGUGAGGGUAGUUAAGGUAUUAAAUUUGGGUUUAAAGAGAUAUUGAUAGUUUAGUUAAUAAUAAUAUGGGUGCAGAGAGUAAGUUGGGUGUAAAAAGAGUUACAUGAGAUGACACACCCCGACCGAGAUCAAGGCAUGCUAGCCAUCACGUGAGAGUGACAUAGCCAAGUGCACGGUGCAGAAGCAAUAAAGAUAAGAAUAUACGAAUAAUUAAAAACCAAAUUACUAGAGUGCACUACUAGACGAAAGUGAUAAGAGUUAGUUACAACAGUGAACACUCCUAAUCAGAGCAUAAAGUCUAGGUGCAGUCCAGUAGGACAAGUACUAGUUACACAGUACCAAGAAUGUCUUGCUCUUAUUCAAAUAGGUCAGAAAUGCCAACAAUCCCGAGCCACCGACAUCAAGCUUACUUAAAACCUGGAGGGGCGCAAAACAGAAAAUGUGAGUGGGCAAAAACAAAUGUUUUACAAAAUCAUUUCAUUCAUCAAUAUACUAACCUCUCGCUGUAAAACAUGUAUAAUUUUUCCCAGAAUCAAAAUAUAAGUAUAGACAUAAUUAGAUAUGAAAUAUAUCAACUCAAUUCAUGCUUCACAUAAUCAUAUUCAUAUGUAUGCCAUGCCAAAAUAUAACAAGGUAAACAAUCUAGGUAAGAAUGAUUUCGUAGAAAUAUGAUAUGCUAGCCGGAACCCCUGAGGUGGUCUGUACGGCUGAAUUCAUGGCUCAAAAGUCAAUCUAGCCGGAGUCACUACAAUGACCUAUAUGGCAAUAUACUGCACAUAAGUCGGAACCACUAAGAAGGGUCUGUACGACAAGAUUUGGUGUAAUAUAAUUAUGCUCAAUUUUACUCUCUCAUAAUAGUCGGGUGAUAAAUCGCUAGUCACCUAAGAGUCGGAACCAUAAAUAAGGUCUGUAUGACAAGACUGUGUACUUAAGUUGGAUCCAAUAUGAGCAUAUGGUGUGAGAGGUGACGUACAUAAACAAGCCUGUACUUCUCAUCUUUGGCUAAAUCACAAUCACCCUAGGUGCAGUUUUAUGAGCUCAACAUUAUUUAAUCACAUAUCACAUCAUCGAUGAUUCGCAUAACCAAACAUAAUUUACCUGAACUUACCUGUGCCUCCACAGCACCACAUAUAUGUAUAUUGAAAACAAAAGCCCACUCACUGAUAUGUCGAAGGGUCGUAGCCCCCGAGUCGCCCGUGGAUACGCUCGUCCUUGGGAUAAGCCUCACCUAUAUGCGAAUUAACUAUAAAAAUGUUAUUUUUAAAGCACAUAGGCAAUACUAGCUAAUAACUUCUCAUACAUUGCUCAAAAUAGGUAUAUGAAUAUACCACAGUUAUCUACACAACCUCAGAAUCAUCCCCAUAUUUUUAGAAAUAUUUUUGGACCUCCCACGCGCCGGCAAGGGCACGGCAAAACGCGCCCCCACGCGCGGUCCAAACCUAACGGAUUCCCUAACCACCAUUAGGGAAUAUUUCGUUAAACCUAACAGAUUCCGUUACAUUUGACUGACGGUGUCAGCAUAUUCCAUCCAAACUGACUGAGUAUGUCGUUAUCUUCUCCAGCGAGUCGCAGGUCGCCGGAAAACUAGGUAAAACUUUAAAUCCACUAUUCUCACUCGUUUCUUAACCAUUUUUCAUAAAAUUGGUACCAAAAUGAAGCUAGGGACAUCUACAAUCACGUUAUAAUAGUUUUAAGCCUAAAAACUGCUACAUUUUCUUAGGAAAAGCUCGAUAGAUCAGCUUACCUAGAGUAGCCUCGAUCUCAGCCCCUUGACGUCCAAUUCCUUCCAACGAAGUACCCCGAGACUUGUGAGAACCUCCUUAAGCCUCAUAUGACCUUAUAAUUCCCUAAAACACAAGGUUUUAUGUGUGCAUGAAUAGUGCACAAAAUCGGGGUUAGGUUUUCUCAAGUUUUUCUCGAUUUCAAGUCUUAAGAAUGGUAUAGAUGUACUCAGGGACUUACAAGGGACAAGAAUCUCACCUUUAGAACGUCGAUCUGUGCAUGAUUGUGAGCUUUGUUGCUUGUCCGUAUGUGAGGGAAACAGAGAGAGUUCGAGAGAUAAGAAAGAGAGGGUACGGGAAUGAGAGAGAGAAAAAGGGUAUGGAUGUGUGUAGUCCAAACAUGCACACCAAUCACAAUUGUUUAAUCUUUUAGUUCUAAUUGGGUCCAAUUAGUUAGGAAUAGAACCAAUUGACCCAAUUUCUUAAUCCAAAACACAACACACAUCCAACGCUCAAGGGUAAAUUCGUCUUUUCACAACCACGAUAAUUAAUCCUUGGGACGGGCUGUGACAUGAGAUCAAAUAAAAUUUCCCUUAAAAUUAAUUGGUAAUAUGUGGAAUACCUAAUAUUUUAUAAACUCUUGUACGAUUAAUCUUCCACCAAUGUGGAUUUCAUUUAUUUUCACAUUCUCACUUGCCUGCUUAUGUGUGACUAAUUUUCAAGCCAAACACGUGGACAACAAGAAUUAGGUGACAUGGAACAUGUGUGGCCAUUGGGUUUCACACUAUUAAUGCAGAGUUUUUUUUCGAGUGUCUUGUCAACAAUCAAGUUGAGCGCUUCCUCAUAAAGGGCCUUCGAGCACUAGAGGGCAAGUUGGCCACUAACAGCUUUAAGGCGUGAGGUCCCACAAAAGGGGCAGACCUAGUCAGACGUCAACUCCAAGCCACAUGGUGGCUAGGUAAAGGAAUAAAGGCCUACGAAAAAACAUAAAUGCUGACAGGUAGAGUGCUCGGUUACGAGUUCCACCAACACCAAGGCUGAGUAAAACGCUUGAUCGUGUCAGCCCAAAAAGGAGACAAAUGAACCUAUUCUAGUGGCCCCUUGUUGCAACAUGUGAUCAAAUAACGUAGGGACAGCUAGUAGGUCUAGUUUGAGUAUUUGGUGCAUUAAAUGCAAAGAAAGUGAUGGAUUUGAACCAAGAGGCUGAAGGUUUAGAGGAAGGCUUGUAUAAGUACGACAAGUACUUCUUAGAAAGGAUUAGAUGAAUUGAGAGACAAUCAUACUAUCCUAGCCGAGUGCUACUUGUAACCUUGUUUUCAUUUUAUAUAAAAAACUACUAAACAUAGCCAAGUUUUGAAAAUGAACCACAUAAAUCCUUUGUCUAUUAUCAUUUGUUUGCAAAGCCUAAAUCCAUCAUAAAUCCUUUGUCUAUUAUUAUUUGUUUACAAAGCCUAAAUCCAUCAUAAAUCCUUUGUCUAUUAUUAUUUGUUUACAAAGCCUAAAUCCAUCUAGGAUAAACACUUGAUCUAUUUAACAUUUGUUAACCUCACCAGUUUUGAGCAUUAACACACACAUUGGUUAACCUAAUUCUGUUACCAUGAAUAAAGUUGAGAUUACACCAUAGACGGUGUUUAUAAUCUUAUCUAACCUAUGAUUAUAAUUGUUGGAAAGACAAAUGUACCUUAAGUAAGCUGGUUUUGGAUAUCUGGAGGAUGGUGUAGUAUAUAUCAUAUUGGGUAGAGUACAUUACAUUCGUUAUGUAUGUAUGAAUUGUUAUGUUCAGCGUCAGUUAUUCAAAUAAACUAGUUAGGGACGUGACAUAAGGGAACACAUAUUUCAUUUGCGCCUGUUGAUUUUUAGGAGGAAAGAGGUAAAAGAACAAGAUGCCCUAUGAAGUAUUCUCCAGGCUAUUUAAACAAAUAAGGAGACUACUAAAAGUGUGUUCCGGAGGUUGGGAGGAGAUUUAGAGCCUAAGAGUCUAUCUGAAGGGUUUAGAAACUUUGAAGCCUCUGAAGAAGUGGAAGAUAAUGAUGUGAGGUUACCACGCUGGGUGGAUGAUAAGACUCUCCAGCCAACCAACCACGACAUCAUGAGACAAGGAAGGCCAGAAAGAACCAUAAGCCCGAUACCACCAGUUACAAAGGUGAAUUCAAUCCGAAUGGGCCGAAAAAUGGUACAUAGUGGGCAAAGACGAAAGACCUAUCAAAGAAAUGGGGGCAUCCAUGAUAAAAAGGGUUCAGAGGCAACAUAAGGCUUAUAUGAACUCACUAAAAAUUCCUGUUAUUUCAGAAGCUUCUGAGAAUGUUAAGGUCGAGGAGUUUACCCAAGGAAGAGAGAGACGACCUAGUUGGAGAAGUAGGAGAGAAGUAAAGAAGGCUAAUAGCAAGGCUGAAGGUGGAGGCUAAUAAUUAGGUUCUUGAUAUUUGACAAUAUCAAAGUCACUUCGUCAGAGGGUGUCCACGACAUGGUUGGGGUUAAACCACUUAGCCAUGGAGGCAAGUGAAUGCGCAACAAGAGAUCUCUAACCUUCAAACCGUUUGAGGGAGAAUACUCUAUGAUAUGAUUAAGAAUCUUUGACCAGAGUAUGAAUGAGAUUUAGAAAGUUGUUCCAAAUCACAUUCAAGGUAAUCAUAUAAGUAAAAGAAUCACAUUAGAUAGUAGACAUGAAUAAACUAUCAAACCAAACAAUGUGGUCAAGAGUAUUGUAUUAGAGAAUGACCAUAUUGCAUUGUAAUCCUAAACUGAAUAGGUUUUCCACCUCUUUUGAUUAGCUUGGGUAACCAUGACAUACUACUAGGUGUCACUCAUGAUUUGUGGAAGCCCUAAACGUGUAUAAUCAUUAAAGGGGGAAUUGAAAGUAAGUUUUAAUUCAUAAUCGAUUGGAAGAGUUCUAAUCGCCCACUGCCUCGCUAAAAGGAACCUAAUGGAACGUACACUGAGUAAGGUAGAGAUUGAAGAAACAACGGAGAUGAGUAAGAAUAAUUAAAUGGUUUAAUUAUUUAUGGCUAGGAUUAAUUAAUAUGUUAAUUAAUCAAACGAAUAUGUUCGUUAAAGACCUCGGGUUAGUUUUGGGCUGCAAGGCCCAAUGGGAUUUGAAUGUCUAGCCCAUUAACUCAAAUUGUAUGACAACUUGAAAACACAAAGGGCUUGAAAGCCCAAUAUACCCUUAAUGGCCAUCCAUGAUAAUAAUGGAGUGGGUUUUGGACUUAUUACAAGUUUGCCACUCCAAUGAAGGUAGGUAUAAAUAUGACUUUAUAGCCUUUUCUUCAUUAGGGUUUCUUUUGGAGAAAAGAUGAGAACACAAGCUCCAUUUUCUCUCUAAGAGGUCGGCCACCCUAGGAAGGUUUUACUAGCAUCUAAAUCUUCCUAGGUCACUCAUCUCCUCAUCAAUGCUCUCCUUGGUGUGGAAAAAUUAGAGGUUCUCUAUUUUGCGAACUUGGAGAGUCAUUUCAACCAUCAUCCUCCAAGAAAUCCAUGGAGCUAAGAAGCAAGGAAUGAAGGCCCUCUCCUUAGGUGAUUAACCUUUGCUUAUGCAAAGAGGAAUCAACAAAGGUAUAAGAUUUCUUAACUCACUUUGUUCUUGAGUUUAGUCUUGGUUCACCAUAAUUACUAGGCUUUGAAUUUCAUGGGUUAAGUUUUAUUUUUGAGUGCAUACAAGCAUGAUUCUGCCUCUUAAUUGUUAAUAGCAUGCAUAGAUGUUGCUCAAAUGAACUUGUUUUCACAAAUAUUUCCUUCAGGGAUCAUGUUCCUGAAGCUACUUAUCUAGGGAAAUACAGGGUAUUAAGAAGAAUGUAAGAGAACAUGGUGAUGGUACUUACACCAGGUUGGAAUCCAAAGCCUAUUUGUUUUAAAACCAUUUAUCCUAAAAGAGGGGUGCCUUCACUACCACAGGAGGAUAUUCCUUUGGAACUCUAGACAUCUUCAUAGUUUCAACACAAUAGAAGAAAAAGAAAUGCUCGAGUUGAUGUUAAGCAAAGAUGCCUAAGCUUGGAUAGAUUAGUUUCUGUGCCAGAUUAGAAAGAAGAAGGAAUGAACACUUGGAACUAGCAACUUUUAUGUCAACAUGACCUAUGUACUGUCCUUUAUGUUUUGUGUAGAACCAAAUCAACCAGCAGUAAUGGAGGAUGAUUAUUUGGCAAGAGAAUGGCUCUUGUAAACAUUGAAAAGGUUAGUAAGGAGGGGUCAAGCUUAAUAGACUUGCCCGACCCUACACAAAAACAGCCCAAGAGAGUUUAUUUUGAUAAGAUGGUGUUCAAAAAACCAAGUCUGGCCUUAGCAAACCAUUUAAAGCCCAUACACGUGACAACUCAUUUGGAAAAGGGUUUCUAUUAAAAAGGGUGUUGAUAGAUAGGGGGUAGUAGUUAAUGUACUACCACUUAAACAGAUAAAGGGUUUCUCACUGAUAUCACGGUGUCUAGUUUUUCUAGGGUCAUCACCAAAACACAUGGGAUACUACCCUUAAGAGUAGACUUGGGAUCUAAGAAGAUUAUGUUGGCAUUUAUUUUAGUAGACAACAACUCUACUUAUGAGGCGUUGCUGGAAAGGGAUUGGAUACACUAGAGUUUUUUUAUACCAUCUACCUUGCACCAAUAAGUUGCUGUCUAUCAUAAACCCACUAUUAUAAGACAAGGAUUUUGGGAGAUGGUAGAGGCGGAGUCACGACCAUUUCUCCUCAUAGCUAAUGUUGCUGAAGCUAAUUUUUACAAUCCCAAUGUUGGGAUCCUACAAUGUCUAGGUGCUGAUCAGAAUGGCUGCCCUAUCAAGGUGACGGUCCAAAAGCCCUUAGAACAAGGAUUUUCUCUCACUCAGGAGGAAUGUGACAGGCCUCAUAUUGUCCAUUCUUGCUAACACCAUUGAUGACAGACUAAAAGAUAAAGGACCAGGUGAUAGUGGUCAGGUUCUUAAUCAAGAGACUAUUGGAUAAUGGAAGAGCAUAAAGAGAGAUCAAGGAAAGCUCAGCCAAAGAAAUGGCAGAGUGGGGAGAGGGAACUUCAAGCACCAAAGAUGAUUAAGGAAGAGAAAUUUUGAAAGAAGAAAUGAAGGCAGCCAUCCACAUGACAUAAUGUAUAUAUGACUUAGAUUGGUUAGAGGAUGAGCCCGAGGUUGCAAAGUUAGUAGAAUUUUUAUCUCCAGAGCCUGAUAAACUAGCACCCGAAGUUCAAGACCUAUUAGAAACCAUUAAUUUGGGAACUUGAGAGGAUCCAAGGCCAAUGCAACUUAGUGGCCUGCUAGAAACAGUAGAUCGGGCAAAGAUAGUUAAUCUUUUACACAAAUAAAAAGACUGUUUUGCAUGGCAUUACAUAAAAAAGCCAGGAUUAGACUCCAGCUUAGUAGAGCAUAUAAUGCUUAUUAAAGAGGGGUAUAGACCUAUAAAGCAAGCACUAAGGAGGAUGUAAAAAGAAAUAGAAGAAAAAGUCAAGGAAGAAAUUGAGAAGCUAGUAAAUGCAGGCUUUAUUAGGCCUGUAAAAUAUAUAGAGUGGUUGGCCAACUUUAUACCUGUACUGAAAGCUGUAACUAAUGCCAUUUGAUGUUGUGUCGAUUAUAGAAAUACAAACGAAGCAACUUCCAAGGAUGGAUACCCUAUCCCUAUGGCUGAUCUAUCCAUUGAUGCAAUUGUAAAACACAAAGUAGUAUCUUUUAUGGAUGGAAAUGCUGGAUAUAAUUAGAUAAAAAUGGCUAAAGAAGAUAUACAUAAGACAACAUUCAGAUGCCUAUGACAUAUAGGAGCUUAUGAAUACGUUGUCAUGCCUUUUAAGCUGAAAAAUACUGGUGCUACUUAUCAAAGGGUGAUGAAUGCUAUUUUUCAUGAUUUGAUCGGGCAUAGCAUGGAGGUAUACAUAGAUGACAUUGUGGUGAAGUCUAGAAUUGAAGACCAGCACCUGGAAGACCUCAGACAAGCCUUACUGAGAAUGAGAACCCACAAGUUGAAGAUGAAUUCUAGAAAGUGUGCCUUUGGGGUUAGAUAGGACAACUUUCUGGGGUUCUUGGUCCAUCAAAGAGGUGUGGAAGUGGACAAGAACAAGGCUAGGGCUAUAAUAAAAUCACCUACCCCCACUAUCAAAGUGCAAUUGCAGAGAUUGCUAGGGAAGACUAACUUUUUGAGGAGAUUCAUUGCUAAUCUUGCGAGCAAGAUCUAACCUUUGACUAAUUUGUUAAGAUUAAAGAAUCAAGACAAGUUUGAGUGGGGCCCUCAACACCAAGAGGCAUUUGACAAAGUGAAGACUAGUCUAGCCUCACCUCCAGUGCUCAUGCCUCCCCAGAGGUGGAAGUCUUUGAAGCUCUACAUUUCAGCAUCCGAGAAAUCAAGAGGGAUUUUAUAUGCUCAAAAUAAUGAAAGGGGAAAAAAACACGCGAUAUACUAACUUAGUGGGUUCCUUAUGGAGGUAGAAACAAGAUAUACCCCAAUUGAAAAAUUAUGCUUAGCCUUGUACUUUAUUGCCAACAAAUUAAGGCACUACAUGUUGCCUUACCAUGUCCAUAUAAUUGCCAAAAUUGAUGUGAUCAAGUACAAGCUGUCUAAGCCAAUGCUAACUGGAAGAAUUGGGAAAUGGAUCCUAAUACUAUCAGAGUUCAGUAUGUACCUUAGAGGGCAAUAAAGGGACAAGCAAUUGUAGACUAAGCACUAAAAAUCCAAGGAGGAACUCAUCAAUAUACCUGGAACUCUGGAAGUGGCUAGCCUCUGGAUCCCACCUAGUAAGGCUCAUUCGGGCAAGAAGGAAUGUAUAUAGCAAGAAGUAAAAAUAAUAACUAGCUUAUGGAUCACUCCCUGGAGAUUAUAUUUUAAUGGAUCCUACACACAACAUGCUAUAGGAGCUAGAAUUGUCAUCAUUGAUGUAAAGGGAAUCCAGCAUUGCUACUUAUUUCUUCUGGAUUAAAAGGAUACGAUCGACAACAUGGUAGAGUAUGAAGCACUGAUCAUUGGCUUAGAAAUUCUAAUAGAGUUGGAAGCGGCUGAAAUAGAAUUAUAUGGUGAUUCUAAGUUGGUGAUUAAUCAAUUAAAUGGAAAGUACAAGUGUAGACAUGUCACAAUGGUAGGGUAUUACCUGUAGCUACUUAAUUAUUAGAAUAUUGGGGGUAAUGAAGCAACAAUUAGCCAUAUUCCCAGAGAAGCAAAUUUGAUUGCCAAUAAAAUGGCAUAAAGGGCUUCUAGAGCAUAGGUUCAAGAAAGAGAGCCUAAGAUGAAGGUAGAGAUAUAAAGGAGAAGUCUCCCUUUUAUCUUUGAGAGAGGAUUUAGCUUGUAUGUAAUGACUAAAGAGCUCGAGAUAGAGGACUGGAGAACAUCUAUCAUCUAGUACUUGAAUGACCCUUCUCUUCCCACUAGUAAGAAGAUUAGACGACAGGAAACUAAGUUUGUUAUGUUGGAUAAAACUUUGCUGACAAAGACUCUAGAUGGGCUUUUGUUGAAAUGCUUGGGCUUGGAAGAAUCAAUGAGGGUGAUGGCUGAGGUACAUGAAGGCAUUUGUGGAGCACACCAAACAAGAAUAAAGAUGAGAUGGUUACUGAGAAUAUAUGGUUUCUUUUGGCCCAACAUGGAGAAAGAUUGUAAAGCAUAUGUUAAAGGAUGUAAGGAAUGUCAAAAGCAUGAACCUCUCCAACACAUACCAUCAGUACCCUUAAAUCUAGUAAUAAAACGAUGGCUUUUCAAUGGAUGGGCCAUGGACUUUAUCGGGCAAAUAUAUCCAACUUCCAGCAAAUGACACACCUUCCUAAUUAUGGCAACUGAUUACUUUACCAAAUGGGUUGAAGCUUCAGCUGUAAGAACCAUUAAUUCAUUUGUUAUGAACAAGUUCAUUGAGACCAAAUUCCUACAUAGAUAUGGGGUGCUUAAAACGAUUGUUACAGGAAAAUGGCCAUCAUUUAUUUCAAAAGAAGUAUAGGAGUUUGCAACUAAGUUCAAUAUGAAGAUGAUCCAUUCUAGCCCUUAUUAUCUCCAAUCUAAUGUUCAAGCAGAAGCUAGCAACAAGAUAUUGUUGAACAUCAAUAAAAGAAUGGUGGCAUAUAGCCCAAAAAGGUGGCAUGAGAAGUUGGGAGAUGUUCUUUCGGCUUAUAGAACCUCAAAAAAGCAAGAACUGGGAUUACUCUUUAUGCAUUAACAUUCGGGCAAGAUGCAGUACUCCCUAUGAAGAUUAAUGUGAGUUAAGUGAGGCUUCAGAAACAAUUUGGUCUACAUAGUGAUGAAUUUAUUUAAGCCAUGUGUCAAGGAAUUGAGGAUUUGGAUGUUUCCUGAAUUGAAGCUCUAAACAAGAUCCAAGAAAGGAAAAAGGUUGUUGCCGAGCUUACAAUAAGAGAGUGACACUGAAAACUUUUAAAGAAGGAUAAUUGGUAUGGAAAGUAGUUUUGCCCUUAGGAGCUCAAGUUAGAAGUUUUAGGAAAUGGAGUCCCAAUUAGGAAAACCCUUUUACAAUUACCAAAGAAUUAGACAGAUGGGUAUAUUACUUGGUAGAUUUAGAGGAAGACUUACAGAAACAUCCAAUCAAUGCUAAAUUUCUAAAGAAGUACCACUCAACUCUUUGGGAUGUUAGAGACUGUUAUAUUAAUGAAGUAUAAUACUUAGAGAAAGGGUGAUGGCCCUUUUGUAUGUCUAAAGCAGUUGUUUCUAUUAGAAAAGUGUAAAUAAGUAAGUAAAAUAGUGAAGCAGUGAGAGAUCUUUUCAUUCAAUAAUUAGGAAAGUAUAGAAGCCCUAAAUUAAAAAGUUUAAAUCUUUAGCCAAGGUAGCUAUCCUAGAAUGAUAAGUCUGCAUGAUGGUUAAAAUGAGACCUGGCUAUUCUAAAGCUGUAUUACUGUUGGCUAGUUGGGCUUCAGACUCCUCCACUUCAUGGUUUACUUUUUUCCCAUCCUCGAUUUUCUUGUAUAGCUUGCUCGAGAGGGUCAUAUGCUCAGCCUUCAUAGCAGGAAAUUGUUUAUCCAGUUUCUGGAUCUCGGCAGCUACCACCAUUAUCCAAUCAUCCAUGGUUGAGCCAUCUUCCACCUGUUGUUGUAGAGUAGUAGAGGUCCAAGUGUGCUUAUCUUUGUAGCACUUCACACUAUUGGCUUGCCACUUGGCCUUAAGAUGCUGAUCUUUCAAAGCCCUUAGAUUUUCAAAGAAGGAAAUGAAAGACUUAUAUUGCAUCUUAGUCAUCUACUGGGCUUGGUAUUAUUGAGUGAGAGCUCUCUUAGCAUCUUGAAGAGCCUUAAGGCUAGAGGAGGCAAAAAAGUCUUUCUGCAUCCAUUCUUUAAAGAUCCUGCACUAAUCUUGAAGAUGUUGAGGCUCAGAAGGGCGCCUUGGGGAUCACUGCUUCGUCCUAAUUUGCCUGAACUCUCUAACUAGUUCGGGCAAAAAGGUCAUGGCUGGAAAAGAAGCUAGAGGAGGAGGCAACACGCCAUCAUCACCAGAAGCAGCAGCAAUGACAACUUUAGCAGGAACAGAAGGAGAGGAUUCAGCAGCAGCAACCUUUUUAGGUCGAGAUAAUCGAAUUUCUGAAACUUCAGUAGCUCCAAAAGGUUGAGGAGGACCCACUCUACUCACAACAGGCUGAGAAGACCUGCCCGAGCCCUCACCAGAGGCCUGUUAUAACACAGAGAAGACAAAUUAAUGGAACGAUGUUGACUCGAAUUAAGAAAAGACAAGGUUGUGAGCAUGUUUGUACCUGAAAAGGGCCUUGUGCUUUGGGAUAAGGAAGUGUUGCGGUAGCUGCCUCUCCACACCUGUCUUCCUCUCUUUGGGGGUAAAAUCAAGAUUCUUGCUAAUAGUAGGUCCUAAUCACAAGAAAGAACAUGAUCAGUUAAAAGCUGAAGGAGAUGAAAUUAAAUAAAUCAAGUUUGAAUCACUUACUAGCAGACUUCUGUUUUUUUCCUGCCUGCUUCAAUUGAGAGGGCAGAAAGAAAUUUAGAGGCUUGAGAGGUUUGAGACUUGUUUUUUUUUUUUUUUUUGGUUAGAGUGGCUCUUAGAGCAGGGUGAUCAGGUCUAGCUUAGGGCCUCUCCUCGGGCCCAAAAUCAGAAGAUUCUACAACAGAAGAUCUUGCUCAACGAGAAGCCCUGGUCUCUACUUUGGGCCCAACUUCUGUCUCUAAUUCACUGAACAUUUCAGAGAUGUUCCCAGCAUCCUCAGGAACAUGGCUAGAGCCUGCUUCUUGCCUAGCUGCCUAUACAGCAGCCUCUUAAGAACCAAAGAUUCAACGACAUCUUUUUCUGGCUCGACAUCCAUUCAUCAGAGUUACCUUGGUUUGCAAGAUCAAGGAAAAAGUUGGCAAUCACAAACUAUGAAAAUAUGAAGUAAAGGAAAGAGGCAACAAUGUAGGUUACCUAUCAGAAAAAGUUGGUUUUUUUGAUUGAUGACAUCCUUCAAACUUUCAAACUCUUCUUUUUUGGGAAGGGACUUGAAGAAAACUUGCCUGAGUAUCAUAUUAUGGGCUUCUCUAACAUCUCCAUCAUAUUUCCUAAACGACUUGCCUUCCACCAAGUGGUGUACCGAGAUGUGCACUCAAAAUUAAGGGCCGCAUGCUUAUGAGCUAUCUUGGUCAUUACCUUCAAGUUGCGCUUGCUUGCCUAAAACGUAGCCUCUGAGAGAGAAAUAAGGCGAAAUGAUGUUCCACACUGGACUGAAUCGAAGAAGAGGAUUAGGAUUGGCUGUCUAAACCCCGUUGCGUACCACAUAAAUUGGGGCGGUAGACCUCCAGCUCGCAUUCAUAGCCCACUUGAUCAGUCCUUACUCCCCAUGCCAAAUCCUUAUGCUUAGCAUCAUCCCCAAAUGAAUGCUGGAAAAGGUUGUCCGAAAAUCCAAGGUACCUCCUGAGCACUGAGGCCACUCAAGAUCAACCCUAGUCCUACAGAUUUUGAAGAAAUAGAGGCAAGCUAAAGUCAAGUGGUUGAUUGUGGGAGCCUUUGCUAGAAUGUAGGCGGAAGUUGCUCAUUUUGGAAACUCCAAGUUGGAAGCCCAAAAUUUUGGGAAGUACCAUUGAAGCCAAAGCUACACCAUCCAGGUAGCUCUAUUAACGUUGGUCUCGAAGGAUGAUCCAUUGUCAUCUCAUAAAACAGAUGAUAGAGAUGUGCCAGAAUGAAGGGGCCAAUGGUGACAUUAUCAAAGGAAUGCAGCGCCUCUACCAAAGGGAUCUAUUAUAGCUUCACUCAUUUGGAUUUGUUGGGGAACACAUGUUUAUUCAACCAAUAUAAAAGAAAGUACAUGUGCUUCUAAGCAGGGUCAGCAAUGGGGGAAGGCGGGCUGAACAUUUUCUUGGCAAAAGAGAUGAAGCAUGCGAAAGAGGUCCUAUAACUCUUAAAGGUGGUAGAGUUAUACUCCAAUCUGGUGAUAGACCAAGAAGCCUCUAAGCCUUUAGCAGCAGAAUGUGAGGGUGAUAACCAAUCGUGUGUAAUGUCUACAGAUUUGCCCGAUGGCCUUAAACCAAAAACCUGAGCCAUAUCUAGGAUGGUGGAAGACAUUGGACUCACUCUGAAAUCAAAAGUAUUGGUCCCUGUGUUCUAGAAAAGGAGAGCUGUUGAGAGAAACUCAUGCUUGAUGGGGAUAAUCUUGGACAUCAUGAUAAGCUCAUAGAUGUCAUUUGCCAUCCAUUUCUUCUUCCAGAUGGGCCAUAAUUUAUCCACCCACUUAGACCAUGCUUCAUCCUUCAUCCUUCAUUAAAGGGAAACCCCUCUUGAAGUGAGAUAUUCUUGCCUUAGCAAUGUAAGGAUUGAAAGAGAACCAGUUGGCAUCGGGCAUGUUGUUAUCCAUAGCAACAUGAACUUCAGAAGUCCAGGCAGACCCUAGUGAAUGCACUCCCCCUUCCUAGAAGAAAAUGGACAGAUUAAGACCAGCCCGAGGACGAUGAAGGCCGUUGAGUCAACAGAGAAGAGUUACAAUCCCUUCUCCAGACUUGUAUGCAGGGCGCAAUUUAGGCGCCAUUGUUGAAUUCGAUAGAAAAUAGUGAAACAAUGGUUAGAAAAUAAGGCAAGAAAGGGUUGAAAAUUCAAGAAAGUUGGGAAUUCAGAGAAUAAAGUUUGUUGAAGGAGAUGUCCAAAAAGAGUGAAAUUGAAGUUAUUUAACGGACAGGCAGUUAACGUUGAAAAUUGUGGGUUAGUACAAAGGUUUAUUUAAAACGGCUAAUUUAUAGGCACUAAUACCCAGUUUCGGCAUGCAAUUGAUUUUAAUCAUUAUCAAUAUCUUGAUUAGUAGACUUAACAAUGAUUAAAGGGGGCACUAUUUGAAUGGAUAUUUGAUCGGAUCAUAUUUAUAUAUAUUUUUACUUCAAAUUCACUCGUCUUUUCUUAGUUAGUUCCUUAUAUUUUUGAGCUAUUUACGUUAUUUUUGUGUUUAUAGAAUUUGUUAUGCAAAGAAAAUAAAAAUGGCACAAACUUGUUAUUUACUCACUAAAUUUUGUCAGGUUGGAAUCAGAGUUUGCACUGGGGUUUUUAUUAAACUUAUGUUUCAGGUGGAAUGGUGAGUAACGCACAAAGAAAAGAAGCAGCAAGGCUGCCAAAAAGAAGAAUAAAAUAAAAGAGGAAAAGCAGCACUUGGCUGCCUGGGUGGAACAAAAGAAAACAAAAGAAUGAGUGGAGCACGAAGAAAAGAAUAAUGUGGAGAGAGGCGCGGCUUUGGCAGCUGAAAAGCAUGUAAGAGAGAUAGAGAGACAGCUACGAACAGGGGGGGGAUAGAAGGGGGGGGUCUUGGAGGUGGAGAGAGUGGCUGCCCUUUGGGCAGCUCGCAGAGAGCGCAGGAGGCGCAUAAAAGACGCGGGAGUGAGAGGCGAGGAAAUAAGGCUGAAGAGGAACAGCUGCCAUUUGGCAGCUAUGAGCACGGACAGAGAACACGAGGGCUGCCAUUGGGCAGCGGUAGUGAGAGAAGUGAGGCAGUGCAGUCCAGGUGAUAAACAGAAAGCAAGUCAGCGAGGGAGAGGGCAAGCAUGAGCACGAACGCAGCAGAUCCUCUUUCGGUUUAAUUUUUCCAAACUUCUCUUUUAUUUCUGUUUUAAUAAUGUGUAAUUAAAUUUAUGUUGGCUAGAGGUUAAUUCAAAGCCGUGAUUUAUAUUUGUAAUAUGAAUUGAUUACCUUCGGUUGUGAUUUCAUAAGUUGUGAUUUCAAUUUACUUAUCCGUUCGUAUAAAAACUGAUUUGUGUAUGUUGGUUGAGAGUGCACGCUUAAUUCACAUGCAUGAAUUUGAUGCUAGAAUAUAAGUGAAUUUCACCUAAUCGUUAUGAACUUAUUUUCACAAGUAGUAAAGGUUGCUAGUCACAAUCACGUUAAGUAAAUUCUUGGCAAGAGUAUCAUGCUUUUCAUAGUUAUGAAUGCCUCGUCAAUGCUUAUAGUUUUCACAAAGUUUAAUGAUCUUUGAUUGUAUCUCUAUUGUGCUUUUCACGUAGGGGACUUUUGAAGAAUGUUUUGAAUUGUUGUAUGCGUUUUCCCGUCCAAUUCAAUAACUUAAGGAAAACUUGAAGAUUAAAAAAGUGCUGUUCACGGUUAAUCUGGAGUAUUGAAAUUCACAAUUUAUUAAAAGAACAACUGGAAAUCAUUUUGUAUGCAAGUAUAACAUGUGUGGAGAAGAACCCUCUAGCUAGUCCGUCAUUUAUCAUUUUACCUUAAUUUUAUGUUUUUGUCAAUUCUGUAAUUUAAUUAAGUUUAAUUUACUUUUCAUCAAAACCAAACACCCAUCCAUUAUUAAAUUAUAUUAUUUAAUUAGUUUUCAUUAUUGUUAGUCUUUUAAUUCAAUUUCCGUCCAUUUCAGUUCUUAGUGUUUAAUCAGAUCAUUUUCAUUAUUUUGAGUCAUCCUAAGUGUGUUUCGAGUUAUUAGAGUUUUUAGCCUAGUUUUGUAUCAUUGAGUCUUGUUUAAUAUUUUUAAAUUAAUUUAGAAUAGAUUAGCAAUCCCUCCUAAUCCCCGGCCUAGAACGAUACCCUACUUACAUCUAUACUACAAUUGUCAAAAAGAGGGUUUAAUUUGUGUGUCAAGUAAUUUUCACAUCAAAUUUUGGCGCCGUUGCCGGGGAUCGAACCCGGGUCACCCGCGUGACAGGCGGGAAUACUUACCACUAUACUACAACUGUCAAAAGAGGGUUUAAUUUGUGUGUCAAGUAAUUUGGGGGAAGGCGCCAAAAUUUGAUGCGAAAAAUUACUUGACACACAAAUUAAACCCUCUUUUUGACAAUUGUAGUAUAGAUGUAAGUAGGGUAUCGUUCUAGGCCGGGGAUUAGGAGGGAUUGCUAAUCUAUUCUAAAUUAAUUUAAAAAUAUUAAACAAGACUCAAGGACACAAAACUAGGCUAAAAACUCUAAUAACUCGAAACACACUUAGAAUGACUCAAAAUAAUGAAAACAAUCAAAUUUAGACACUAGGAACUGAAAUGGACGGAAAUUGAAUUAAAAGACUAACAACAAUGAAACUAACGAAAUAAUAUAAUUUAAUAAUGGAUGGGUGUUUGGUUUUGAUGAAAAGUAAAUUAAACUUAAUUAAAUUACAGAAUUGACAAAAACAUAAAAUUAAGGUAAAAUGAUAAAUGACGGACUAGCUAGAGGGUUCUUCUCCACACAUGACACAUAUGCAACCUAAAUUAAUUUUCAGUUGUUCUUUCAAUAAGUUGUGAAUCUCAAUACUCCAGAUUAACCGUGAACAACACUUUUUUAAUCUUCAAGUUUUCCUUAAGUUAUUGAAUUGGACGGAAAAACGCAUACAACAAUUCAAAACAUUCUUCAAAAGUCCCCUACGUGAAAAGCACAAUAGAGAUACAAUCAAAGAUCAUUAAACUUUGUGAAAACUAUAAGCAUUGACGAGGCAUUCGUAACUAUGAAAAGCAUGAUACUCUUGCCAAGAAUUCACUUAACACGAUUGUGGAUAACAACCUUCACUACUUGUGAAUAUAAGUUCAUAACGAUUAGGUGAAAUUCACUUAUAUUCUAGCAUCAAAUUCAUGCAUGUAAAUUAAGUAUGCAUCCUUAAUCGACAUGCAAAAAUAAGUUAUCAAUCAAGCAGUUAAACAAAUUAAAUCACAACUCAGAAAUCACAACUGAAGGUAAUCAAUUCAUAUUACAAAUAUAUACAUGGCUUUGAAUUAACCUCUAGCCAAAAUAAAUUUAGUUACACAUUAUUAAAAACAGAAAUAAAAUAUAAGUUUGGAAAGAUUUAACCGAAAGAGAAGGCAGCUUGCUGCUUCUGUUUUUCUCCUCCCCGAGGCUCACGCUGCUCGCCAGUCUGAGUCCGCAAGGCAGCUCGCCUUCUCGGUUUUCACAAAAGAAUGAGUGGAGCACGAAGAAAAGAAUAAUGUGGAGAGAGGCGCGGCUUUGGCAGCUGAAAAGCAUGUAAGAGAGAUAGAGAGACAGCUACGAACAGGGGGGAUAGAAGGGGGGGGUCUUGGAGGUGGAGAGAGUGGCUGCCCUUUGGGCAGCUCGCAGAGAGCGCAGGAGGCGCAGAAAAGACGCGGGAGUGAGAGGCGAGGAAAUAAGGCUGAAGAGGAACAGCUGCCAUUUGGCAGCUGUGAGCACGGACAGAGAACACAAGGGCUGCCAUUGGGCAGCGGUAGUGAGAGAAGUGAGGCAGUGCAGUCCAGGUGAUAAACAGAAAGCAAGUCAGCGAGGGAGAGGGCAAGCAUGGGCACGAACGCAGCAGAUCCUCUUUCGGUUUAAUUUUUCCAAACUUCUCUUUUAUUUCUGUUUUAAUAAUGUGUAAUUAAAUUUAUGUUGGCUAGAGGUUAAUUCAAAGCCAUGAUUUAUAUUUGUAAUAUGAAUUGAUUACCUUCGGUUGUGAUUUCAUAAGUUGUGAUUUCAAUUUACUUAUCCGUUCGUAUAAAAACUGAUUUGUGUAUGUUGGUUGAGAGUGCACGCUUAAUUCACAUGCAUGAAUUUGAUGCUAGAAUAUAAGUGAAUUUCACCUAAUCGUUAUGAACUUAUUUUCACAAGUAGUAAAGGUUGCUAGUCACAAUCACGUUAAGUAAAUUCUUGGCAAGAGUAUCAUGCUUUUCAUAGUAACGAGUGUCUCGUCAAUGCUUAUGUUUUUCAUAGAACUUAAUGAUUCUUGCUUGUAUCUCUAUUAUGCAACUCAUGUAGGGAACUUGUAGGGAAUGUUUUGGGUUGUCGUAUGCAAUCAUCCAACCCAAUAACUUGUGGAAAAACUGAGGGUUAAUUAGUGCAAUUCAUGGUUAAUUUGGGGCGUUGAGUAUUCAUAGCUUAUCGAAAAGCAACUGGAAAUCAUUUUGUAUGCAAGUAUAACAUGUGUGGAGAAGAACCCUCUAGCUAGUCCGUCAUUUAUCAUUUUACCUUAAUUUUAUGUUUUUGUCAAUUCUGUAAUUUAAUUAAGUUUAAUUUACUUUUCAUCAAAACCAAACACCCAUCCAUUAUUAAAUUAUAUUAUUUAGUUAGUUUUCUUUAUUGUUAGUCUUUUAAUUUAAUUUCCGUCCAUUUCAGUUCCUAGUGUUUAAUUUAAUUGUUUUCAUUAUUUUGAGUCAUUUUAAGUGUGUUUCGAGUUAUUAGAGUUUUUCGCCUAGUUUUGUGUCCUUGAGUCUUAUUUAAUAUUUUUAAAUUAAUUUAGAAUAGAUUAGCAAUCCCUCCUAAUCCCCGGCCUAGAACGAUACCCUACUUACAUCUAUACUACAAUUGUCAAAAAGAGGGUUUAAUUUGUGUGUCAAGUAAUUUUUCGCAUCAAUAUUUAAUGUUGGGCUUAGUGAUAUUGGAGGUCUAAGAGUGCAAAAAGUAGAAGGAGGAUUGGGCUAGGACAGUUGGCAGCCCAGGAAGAAUUGAAAAUCAUUUUUUGCCAAUAAAUAGGCAACAAGAAACAAGCCUAUGUGAGAGGUGGCAUUAUGAGGGCAGCUCACCCCCAGGAAAAAUUACUUUUCAAGGGCAUGGAUAGGUAAAUAAAUGAUGACUCACCAUGUUUUGGAGGCCAUCACCAAAAGGGGAAGGCUUAGAUAGUCAGGCUACAGAGUCUAUAAAAGCAAUGAAGGACACAAGGAAGAAUGACACUUAACCAAUCAAUCAAAAGACAUUCAACUUUACACUCCAACAAACAAGAAACCAGAAAACUUUAGUUUGUUCAAACUUUACCCUUUUAGUCGCAAGUCCACAAUAAAAAGCCAUCUUUUGUCAAGUUUUAGAAGCUCUGCUACCUUUCCCCUAUGUUGUAGUAUUGAAUACCUUUACUAAACCCAAUUUAUCUUUCAUUCUCCAAAGAUUACAACCCCUGUAAAACACAAGGAGAAUUGGUUGCAAAAAGACGAACCUUGCCUGACAAGGUCAUAAUCUUGCUCGAAUCUUUUUUGUUUGUACUUACAUAAAGUAGAUUUGUUGUUUUAUGCAUAUUUCAUUGUAUCCUAUAUCAUUUUUUUACUACUUUUCGUUCAAAGUUUCAUCUAUGAUUAAUCUUCCUAAACUAAUUAAUCUUGUUUCUUUAGUGUUAACCGUAAUCAAAGAAAUAAUUUGAAGGCCAUGAACUCCUUUCAAUUGAGCAUAUGAUAUUAUGAGUAAAACUCCUUGUUUAUAAGGCAAGAAAAAGAACUUUAUACAGACUUAACCCAUCCGUAAACAAUCCAAUUGAACUAAGAAGUCUAAAUAACUUGUGGCCCAAGUAAUCAACCCAUUUAAUAACAAAAAAAAACAACAAUUUGAUAUACAAAGAUAACGUUGGCACGCUCGGACACAUAUUAGUUUUGAUUGUAAGCCUCAAGGCCUAACAAAGGCCCCACAAAGGCACCAUAAAAACUAAUAACAAACUCAUAUUGCAAUACACCAAGAAGCAAACCUUGUCCAACAGACAAGACCUAGGGGAGUUGUGUGAGGGACAUAUCUAGCUCGAACACGAUUGUUUUGCUCUUAUAUGUUCAUUUCUUGUUUAAUCUACCUAUCUAGUGAAUGAAUGAAAGUUUAUUAUAAUUUCUUUGAAGCUCAAAAGAUUAUAGUGACAUAACAUACCCAACUAGAAACUACAUAUUUUUAACAGUUCCACGACGGAAAAGGUAAAAGUGGAACAAGCAACUCGAAUGUCUGAAAAUCUUGCUGCUUUUGCCAAACUUUGUAAUUCUCUCUUUAUUCUCUCUUUUCCCAACACAUUGGUAUUCCUUAGGUACACAUCAAACAGAAACAAACUUUUAGUAGAAAGACUUGUUUCAGGGCCUUAUUGUAUCACCAUAUCCACCACUAUCACUUUUCCAUUGUCUGGCAAGGCCUCAUAGCAAUUCUUCAGUAUCAUCAAGCAUAGAUCGUCAUCCCAACUGUGUAGUUACAUUGUUAAUAAAAUCAUUUGCAUUAGUUGAAAGCUGUCGAAAGUGUAACUAGUCGAAGGAUAUUGGGUUAGAUCGAUUUGAACACGAAGCUUAAGUGUAGGGGUAAACAAGCUAGAUUGCCCACACUUUUACUGAAAUUUUUGAUUCAGCCAAAGUAGAUGUUUGCUUUUGAACAUGCUUUGUAAAUCAGUAGUUAAAUAAUUCUUAAAACCCUCACCUUCAUGAAAAUGGCAUCGCCUUUCGGAAUCCUUACAAACAUAUCUCCUGCAAUGUGCUCUAUACCUGUAGCAAAACUCUUCUGUAAGUUAGCAAAGCAAAAUGAACUACAAAAAGCUACAUGAAAUUGUCCAAUGGUAAGCAAAAAAUUUAUAUCAUACCGGGAUGGGAGGGAGACUUUUCAACAACCGAAGGCAAAUCAUAGUUAGGAAUAGUACCAUCGCCACCACCCACAUCUACCAGUGCACGUAAACCUUCGAGACUCGUAUAAAUCUCCAUAAUCUCCUUCUUAAAAAUGAGGUUAAACUCUUUCAUUGAGUCCUUGAACACAUUACCAAGUCUUUCAUCCCUAUCAAUGUAAUCCACCACAUUCAUACCAUAGGCCUUGAUAAAUGGGAGUCCUCAUUCCAAAACUGCAUAUUUCAAAUGGUACCUGUAGAAAUUGUGACAUAUAAAGAUGACUGCACUGAUGAAAAAGAAAUGAACUUUGUUUAGUUCUUUACUUGCAAAUCAAUCAUAGUUUGAUGCGUAUACAUAAAUUACUCGUUUAUAACAGAACAUGAAAAGUUUUUGCACACGUGUUAGACUGUAAGUUAAAACCAAAAUGAUUGAAUUAACAAGGUUUUGUAAAAGGUUGUAGUAGAACCAGUUAUCUAGGAUAACCUUGUCAUGGCAUAAAUUGAGCAAUGGUGCCAAAGACACCCCACCCUGGUUCUUAAUAAAGUACUUGGAGACAGGUGCAAACCCACAAAUCCUAAUAACAUUCCCAUUAGCUUGGAUUGUCGAGCAAGUGAGAACAAAGUAAGCGGAAAAAAGGCGAAGCAUGUGAUCAAGAAUUGAAGGGGCAUCCAAAUUGUGUAGAGAUCAAAGCUGAGACGUUAUUUGGGAAGGCGAAAGCAGGACUCCGGCGCCAUCUCUGUGGAUAAUGUCAAGCACACCAAGCUCUAUGGCUGCUUUAAGCACCAUAGGCAAUAUUGAUAUGUUUGCCAAUUGCAUAGCAUAUUGGGAGUCAGCUUCCUCUUCUCCAUUAAUGGUGGACAUUUUCAACUGUUUUUCCCUUGUUUUGUUGUUCUGAUUUUUUUGUUUGGAAUGCUUGUUUAUAUUGUUGUGAAUGUUAAAUAGGCAUGAGAGGUGAAAAGUGUUUUCAAAUUCAUUAUGACUCUAAAUUUGUUUGGUUGCUAGAGGAAGUAAUUGUGCAUGAGACUAAUCAAAGUUGCAUAUAUUAUAAGUAUAAAAAAUUACAACUGAAGAAAAAAGUAAGAAUUUUGAGAGAGAGAGAGAGAGAGAGAGAGAGAAAGAGAGAAAUAGAGAAGUGGAAGGCAAUUCAAGAAAUGUGGGCAAAGCAUCGCUUGAUAAAAUUGUAUCCAUGGUAGUUUCAUAAAUCGCUAAAGUGACUUUUGAAUUUGGAAGUCUGCUCGGCAUUUGGGAUACGUCUCUACAAUUUUCUCCUUAAUGAAGGUUCCAGAACAUCAAAAGGGUUUGAUUUUGGGGGUAAUUGUGACACGCCCGACCCUGAUAUUCCUCAAACACUAGGGUAGGUACGUGCUGGCCGACACUCGAAGGUGACGAAGCCAUAUUAGGAUGCAUGAGAACAAAUAUUAAAUAAGACUUAUAAAUUAAAUAUAAUUAAUAUGCAAAUGAGGAACGUGUUCAGAGCAUACAACUAAUUUAUUGACUCUAGAAAGGAAAUAAUAUAAAAUUGAAUGAGCAAGGGAAUGAGUCCUACACUAAGAAGACUCGAGGAUGCCGAUGCGGAAGUGCCUUAACGCCAGGAUUAUACGCCUCGAUUCUAAGUCUUGAGGGGGUGCAAAACAAACAUGAUUGGACCAAGUUAAUAUAUAUAAUACUAAAAUAGUUAUCAACAUACUAACCCCCAAAGUUUAAUGAAAACAUCAAUAGCGUAAUUUGUAAUAGGUUUCCGAAACCCUAAUAUGCCAUAAAAUCUUUCAUAAAUCAUAUCUCGUAUAUAGUGUGAUAAAUAGUGGUAUCCAAUGAUAAUAUCUCCUGGCCCAAUGCUAGCUUUUAUGUCUCUACGCUUGUAGCUAGAGAUUAUUUCUCCUGACCCAUUGCCAGCUCCAUGUCUUUUGGCCCGAAGCCAGAGAUUAUUUCCCCUGACCCGCAGCCAACAACCAUAAUCCUCGCCCAUGGUGGUAUAGUGACCACUAGAUAAGCACAAAACCAUUGAACAUAGACUUUACAAACAUAGGUAUAUAUAUCUAAAAAACAUCUUCAUAGUAUAAAGUCAUUCAUCAUCUAUACUAUAAAGAAGUGUGCAAAAACAUGUUCAUAAGCAGUAUAAAGUCAUCCAUCAUCUAUACUAAAAAGAACAUGAGUUUAAUAAAAUAUGGUAAUUCAAAAUAUUCUCAGUAGGCGUAAUAUCUCAUAAAACGUUUCACAAAACAUAAUCAUUAAAUCAUGCUUUUCAUGUAUACAUUUCUACUAUUAAAACAUGUAUUUUAGAAGGGGUCCACUCACAGAUAAUUCAUCGUCGAAAAGCCAUGCAAAUUAGCGAAGAGGGAAUCACCACAAUAAAUGCACCUAAGCACAUAAGGGGUCCAAUUAAUAAAACUUUAUUCAAAAGAUUGAAUUUGGGAAAAUGGUCAUCAAAAAUAGAUUUAGGACGUCGAAUUACCCUAAGAAGGGUCCUGGGUAAAUUUCAAAAAAGUCAACACGGGAAUAUUUCAACCGGAUCUGGCCUAGUGGGUUUGGGUUGAAAGGCUGGACCAAGAGGCUGGGCCGGUUUCCUUGGCCCAAGGGCUUGAGUUCAAUUGGAUUUUGGGUUAGGUUUUAGAGGUAGCGAGGCCUAAGGCCCAAGUUUCACUCGGCCUCAAGGCCGGUUCUGGGUUACACAAGGGUUGGGCUCGGGGGUUUAGGCCCAAAGGCCAUGAGUUUUUUGUUCUUCACCGGGGAAGAAGGCUGGAGCCUCCCGAGCUUCGGUUGCCGACCAAACAAUUCCUAAGCUUAUGAUUUAGAUACCAAAGUGGGUGUUGUGGGUGUCUUGAUGCUUCACAGGGACGAGGGAGAGGGAAGGUUUAGAUGAUGGUGGUGGUGGUGAAUGUGUUGGGGUGCUUUGUUGAGGUGUGGUGUAUAUGGGUGUGUACUGGUCCUCGGGGAAGAGGGAAUCCGAGAGAGGAAGCACAUAAAAGAGAGUGAGAGCUAAGGGAAAGUGAGGGAGAGAAAGAGUGGAUGAGUUCACGAGGAAUAGGAGAACCAGGGACACAAAUCAGGGGGUGGGCACCUUGGGCUCACCAAUUAAGAUCCAAAAAUAAUUUUUAAAUAAAAACCCAAAACUUAGUGAAAUUACAAAAAUACCAUUUCGUUUCGUAAAUUCCAGGAUGAGCUGUCAAAAAUUAGGUUAAAUGAUUCUGGUUAUCAAAUGAUUGAACAACUGGGAGCAAUUUGCUUACGAUACUUAGUUGACAUUCAUAAAAAGUAUCUAAUGAAUUAUGAGUUCAAUACAUCUUGUUUAGCAGAAAGACAGAUAUUCCUUGCUCAUUAUCAGACAAUCACUUAUUCACAAACCUCUUGUGGGGCUAAUAGUUUUCAUUUCCCAUCUCAUGGAAAACCUUUUUCGCUCCGCUUAGCCCUAUCCCUCUCUAGGGGUAUUUUAGUGAUAGGUUCUAUAGGAACUAGGACGAUCUUAUUUGGUCAAAUACCUAGCGACAAACUCCUAUUACAGCAUUUCUGAACAAGUUCCUGGCUAACAAUAAGGGCGUUUAUGUCUAUUCAAGUGAACAUUUUGUUAUAUUUGAAAGUUUAUAUAAAAACUAACAUUUUUGAAAUUAAGAGAAAUUUUGGCUAUUAAUGAUAAAAAAACUUCUUGAGACGAAAUAUAACAUAUGCGUUAGUGGACAGAGUAAGGAGCUCCUCAAGUUAUGGCAUUGGGAGUAGGAUUCUCUCCCUCUUAGUUUCCCUUCCUUCUUCUCCUAUUUGAAAUUACGAUUACAAGUAUCAAUGUCAGUUUUGUAUUCAUUUUUGGGGUCUGUUUACAUGGUUCAAUUUCAUUUUUUCGUCUCAAAAGAGUUGUUUCCCCUAAAGUGUAAAUUUUGGGACAGUCUCAUACAUCCGUUAAUCAAAUUGUUAAGUCUCCCGUUAACUGUGACGUGGCCCCUAUAUGGACACUGACUAGACGCCAAGUGUCAUCCACGUUUUUUUUUCUUUUUUUUCUUUCUUCUUCUUCUUCUUCAUCUUCUUCUUCCGACUGUAACUUUUUUUUUCUUCCUCCUUCUCUUCUUCUUCUUUUUCUUCUUCUUCUUCUUUCUUCUUCUUCUUCUUCUUCUUCUUCUUCUUCUCUUCUUCUUCUUCUUUUCUUCUUCUUCUUCUUCUUCUUCUUCUUCUUCUUCUUCUUCUUCUCCUUCUUCUUCUUCUUCUUCUUCUUCUUCUUCUUCUUCUUCUUCUUCUUUCCUUGUUUUCUUUUUUCUUUUUCCUCCUUUUCCUCAUUCUUCCUACGACUGCAACUUUUUUUUUUCUUCCUCCUUCUUCCUUCUUCUUCAUUCUUCUUCCUUCUUCCUUCUUCUUCCGAAUCUGGGGAAGAUUUUUUUUUUCUUCUUCCUCCUUCCUUCUCCUUCCUCCUUCUUUCUUCCUCUUCUUCUUCUUCUUCCUCCGAAUCAGGGUUGCAGAUUCGGUUUUUUUUUUUUUUUUUCUUAUUUUUUCUUCUUCCUCUUUCUUUCUUCUUCUUCUUCUUCUUCCUCCAAAUCUGGGGAAGAUUUUUUUUUCUUCCUCCUUCUUCUCCUCCUUCCUUCCUCCUCCUUCCUUUUUCUUCUUCUUCUUCUUCUUCCUCCGAAUCUGGGGAAGAUUUUUUAUUAUUUUUUUUCUUCUUCCUCCUUCUUCCUUCUUCUUCUUCUUCUUCCUCCGACUGCAACUUUUUUUUUUUCUUCCUCCUUCUUCCUUCCUCCUUCUUCUCCUUCUUCUCCUUCUUCCUUCUCCUUCUUCUUCUUCUUCUUCUUCCUCCGAAUCUGGGGAAGAUGAAGGUUUUUUUAUUUUUUUUAUUUUUUAUUUUAAUAUAUAUAUAUAUAUAAUUAUUUAUUUAUUUUAUAAAUAAUUUAUUUUUAAUUUCCACAUGGAUGACACGUGGCGCCCAGUCAGUGUCUACAUGGGCGCCAUGUCACAGUUAACGGGAGACUUAACAAUUUGACUAACGGAUGUAUGAGACUGUCCCAAAAUUUACACUUUAGGUAUGACUCUAAGACGAAAAAAACUUGAUGUACUAAAUGUUGAAAAUCACGAAACAUGAGGCUAGUAAACAGUCUUUUACUCUAACUUUUUAAUAGCCAGAAGAAGACAAAAGGCGAUCUAUGAGAGGAGGGGAGAAAAUGCGAUGAAACUAGGAGGAGAGAGAAUCAUACUCUAUGACAUUAAUUAAGCAAAGUACUGUACAAUUCUCAAAUAAAUUUAUUACUAUAGCAAAUUCAAAUGGACAUCAACAAUAUCCACAUCAUAGUGAUACUUUAUUGAUUCUAAUGUAAAUUACAUACUUUUUAUUUUCGUAUUUAUUCAUAAACUUAAAAAUGAAAUAAAAAUAAAAAUAGUGUCAAUAUCUAUUUCAGAUAAAUAGACAUACUACUGAAACACUCAAACUAAAGUAGACCAUUUUUUGAGGUCAUUUGUGUACUUGUGCUUAGCUAGUGACAUGAAAUUGCCCGCACAAGUUCAAAUGGGUUUAAACAAGUCUAAGCAGCAUUCAGUUGCAAGUCCUUUAUUCCAGAAUUUCUCAUAGUACUCGGCAUAUGUGAAGUUCCUGUACAUGGCUGGGUGGUCAUAGUUGACGAGCUCCUUGGCAGGCCCAAUUACUGCAUCUGGUGAUGGACAAUAGAAAGUUGGGAUCGAUAUUCUCUCCGAGUUACAGUUUAUCACAGCUCUAUGGAGUACACUCUUGUACCGAUUGUUGCUAAUUACCUGAUACCAAAUAAAAUGGUAAAAAGGUUAAAAAUCAAUUACAAAUUUUACUCCUGUGUUACAAAACUUUGUCCCUCUACUUGGACAAGUCCCCCUUGCUAGGGAGAAAUGAGCUUAACUAUCUCAGGAGUAAUGCCAUCAUCUAUUAUUUCAUGCCUCAUGUAACUAAACAGGUGAGAAAAAAGACAAAGAAAUCAAGAUUUCACGCCAUGGGGGCAUUUUCCAAUAUGCUCUUGGAAUUUGUAUACCCCAGAUGAUCUUUUGGCCAUUAGAUCCUUGGUAAACAAUCCAAUAACCAAAAAUUAAUUAAGAUAUAAUACACUGAAGCAUAGUAGUAAUAGUUAUUAGUCAUAAGAUCUUUCAUGCAAGAUCUAUUGACCAAUAUCUAAUGACGAAAUUUUGUUUGAUAACAUACACCGAAACGUAAUAAAUGUAGGAUAUAGAGUUUACCUGCAUCAUAUCACCAAUAUUGACAAUGAAAGUGUUGGGAAUAGGGUUGACAGCAACCCACUUGCCAUUUCUAAGGACCUGCAAUCCAGGCAGUUCAUCUUGGAGAAGGACAGUGAUUAGGUUGGCAUCAGUAUGUCCAGGCAAUCCAUAAGUUAGCUCUGGCUGAGGACAAGGUGGAUAGUAAUUCAAAGCCAUAUGCUGCCCUUGCCUCCCCAGUGCCUUAACAAUACAGUUCUUUUCCAAGCCCAAACUCUCUGAUAUGGCCUCAAGCAAUCUCAGCACCAAUCCUCUCACAUUUGUGCAGUACUCACCCACUUGCUCCCUGUGAACAAAGUACAGCUCAUGCGGUUGUGUGACUUAAAUGUAAUUAAUUAGAAACAAAUGAACUCAUCUACGACGAUGCUCUCCUGUUAGACUGGAACUUAGAUUAUUGGUCAGUUUGAUAUUUGACAAGAUGUAUAUAUAGUUCAUAUUCAAAGUUCGACAAGAUGAGCAUUUGUUUAGCAAUGUAAGCCUGACUAAAGAACGUUACUUGAGAUGAUGACAAAAAGUGCCCUUAUUUAACUAAACUAAUAAAUUCAAUUGGACAAUAUUCUCUUGUUAGAUUGUGUAUGUGUGCUCAGAUUCACAUCUUAACAAUAUAAUAAGUCUGGUUAGAAAACAUUAGUUGGUUUGAAUAUUUAAGUACUAGCAUAAGAUGAUGAAAAAGAAGGCAUCCCUAUUUACCUGAACAAUGGGGGAUUGUUAGGCCAUUCUUGGACAUGGUCUUGAAGAGGGUAGCAAUGGAGCCUAAGGAAGUCCCUCCAGUUGGAUAGUUUUUCAGUCCUGACGUUGAAACUGGUGGAGAGUCUGGUUGUCUUAGAAGGGUCAUCUGAGUACAUCUUCAACCUCUCGCUCUCUGAUAAUUGGAAAAACUCUCUUGCUAUAUGCAACAUGUUUUUUUAUCAUUUUCUCUAGAACACCAUGAUUUUUCACCUGAUAUAAAAAGGUUGGUGCAUCAUUUAGUCGUAAUAACGUGUAAUUAAGUAUAGAGUAAUGGGAUGUGUGUGUGUGUGUGUGUGUGUGUGUGUGUGUGUAAGAAGAAACAAAGGCACUAAUCAACAGGGUAUGCAGAUGGAGUAAAGGGCUGUGUUGAAAUCAUUUGCCCUAGUAUAUACAUACGUGCGUGUUUUAAUUGUUACCUGAAAGAAACCAUCAGUCUGGCAUGCUAGACCAAUCUGUUUGAUAAUAUCAGAGUUCGUUGGGCCAUGGAGGUCCUUGAGAUCAAUGAGAGGAAUGGAGGAGGCAUCUGAUACCUGAAAAGCAGUGAGAUUUGGACGGUCGGAGAUGGGUCGGAUGUAGUUUGAAGGGAUAUGGUUCACACCAGACAUGAGGUCUGUUAGCAGUAGGUUUGUUGUGGGGGCCAUUUUGUUUACGACUGAAGAGAAAAGUUGGAAAACUAAUGAAAUUUGUAGGUUUGGUGAAUGGAGCUUUGGAAUUGGAUCCCUAUCCCUAUUUAUAGAAUAUGAGUUGGGUUUGGCUGUUCUAGUUGUCAGAUCGGCAUGCCCACCACCUUCUCACUAUGAACUGCUGACAGAUUUGUCUGAGGUAAGCAAAUAACGUCCUUCUGCUAUGUCAUAUUGGGGAGUUUUGUUUUGAAAUGAGAUAACUUCCGGCCAAGGUUAUAAAAGGCGUUAGACGCUAGUUGGGCGACGGGUUGAGGCCUAGUGCUUAGGCGGCUAGCAGGGUUUGGACGGGCGCCUAGGCGGACUAUGCUAAUUUAAGUAAAUCUAUUAUAUUUUGUGUAAAUAAGUGUAUGCUUAUACUUAAAAUAUAUAUAAUUUCAUCAUAAACUACAAAAUAGAAUGACGCUCGUUUGGGUGUACUUUUAAAAUGACUAAAAGUGUGCUUUUAGAAAAAAAUGUUUUUGGAUUCUAAAACCACUUAAAGUGCUUUCUGUUAGAAGUACCAAUUAUGUGUUUCUUUCAGGAAGCACUUUAGGUGUUUUUUUAAGAUUUAUUUGCAUUUUUACUAAGAAUUAAUUCUAAAAACAUGUUCAUCAAAAGCGCUUUUAGUCAUUUUAAAAACACAUCCAAACGAGUUAAUAUAUAUUAUGAAGUAUUUGAACAAAAUGAAAACAUGGGGACACAAAUAAAUAAUGCUUGUUCAUUUUAGUAUUGAUAUUAAAAAUGUAAAAUGAGAGCUAUUUAUUUUCUGGCUAAAUGAGUUACAACCUAGACGGGUGCUUAGGCGGUCUAGGCGGGCGCCUCAGCAGGUCUAGGGGUCAUUUCUUAAUUUUCAAACGCCUAGACAUUAAUCGGGACGGUGGCUAGCCGCCUAUCACCUAGGCGAGAUCUAGGCGGCGCUAGGCAUAAAUUUUUAAAACAGUGCUUAUGGCGGAAAAUAUUUAAUUUAAUUCAUAAUAGUUUUGUUUUUGUUUUUUUUUUCAAAAGAUUAAGAAAAAGUUAAAUAAAGCCGGAUUGAUUAUAGCGAGAGAGAUGUGUCUUUCUCCUGCUCUCAAUUUUUCUUUCACACGAAUUGUAGUAUGCAUUGUGACAUGUAAAACUAUGACAAGUUAUAAUAAUUUAAUUACAUAAUUAUUGUUUUUGUGAGUAGAGAAAUUUGAAUUUAAAACGUUUACUGAUUUUUUUCAAAGAACAAUAUCAAUAGAAUCCUUAGUUACACGUUUUAUAAUAUAAUGAAUCUAGAAUUCAAUCAAAUUGUAGUUGAAUGAAUAUCCAUACAUCAAUAAUAUCCGCUGGGUGUACAGAAUUGACAGAAGAGAAACGAAGAAUAAAAAUCAGAAAAAUGAGUAGUUUUGGCUGAUUCGCAUGUCAAUGUGUUGGCAACACCCCCGGUGACUUAUCUAGUGCACCACGAGGAGAUAGAAAAUGGAAAACGAGUAAGGCAACUAGGCAAGAAAAUAAUUGGGCUGCCCCACACUUAGUCUUACUCAGAAGCAAAUUAGAAGCUGAUCAGCUGAAAUAAAGUCACAGAUUUUAUUUUCAAUGAUGUAAUCAAAGUGACAUCACAAUAUCGUCAUUCCCUACGAUCUCCAUGAGGUAACCCUAGUCUGCAUCCGAUCCAGAAUAAAAACAAAGACAAAGAAAAGAGACUGAAAAAAAAUCAGAGGCUACCAGUGUUCAACGAUUUAAUAAUAAAAAAAAGGUCAACCGGUCACCCAAACUUGUGAUAUGCACUGUUCUAAAAAUUCUCACCUAACGACGCUUAGGUCCCACCUAGGCGUUAGGCGACUAGUCACCGUUCCGAUUAAUGCCUAUGCGCUUGAAAAUUAAGAAAUGGUGACUAGACCUGCUAAGGCACCCACCUAGACCAUUUAGGCACCCGCCUAGUCCGUCCAGACCCGCUUAGACACCCGUCUAAGUUGUGACUCACUUAGAUAGAAAAUAGAUAACUUUCUUUUUGCAUUUUAUUUUUCUCAAUAAAUUGUAAGAAACUUAUUGAAUAUUUUAAUGAACACACAUUAUAUGCUUGUUCCCCAUUUUUUCAUUAGGUUCCAAUACUUCAUAAUAUAUAUGUCAUUCUAUUUUGCAGUUUAUAAUGAAAUUAUAUAUAUUUAAAGUAUAAAUAGACACUUAUUUACACGAAAUAUAAUGCAAUUACUUAAAUCCGCCUAGUCCGUCUAGACACCAGCCUAAGCCCUACCCAGCUGCCUAGGCACUAGGCCCCAACCUGCCGUCCGACUACCGCUUAGGGUCUUUUAUAACCUUGGUGACAUGUUCAUCACAAGUGUAAAUCUCUCUCUGCGGUUUCUUUGUCCUACCUCACUCUCCUCCAACUCCAUAGCACUAUCACCAACACACACAUGAACCAAAAACCUCAUAAAUUUGUGCCAUUUUUCUUCUUCUGUGGGAUGAAGUAUGCAUUUUAUAGAGGGAACAAGGGAGGCCCCCUGUGGGUAUUGAUUGUUACGGAUGAAGAAAGGUUGAGGUUUUACUAUUAAAUUAAUUGGCAAUAUGUGGAAUACCUAACAUUUUAUAAACUCUUGUAAGAUUUAUCCCUUCACCAAUGUGAAAUUCAUUUACCUUCACAUUCUCACAUGCUCCCUUAUGUGUGACGAAUUUUCAAGCCAAACACGAGGACAUAAGAAUUAGGUGAUGUGGAGCAUGUGUGGCCAUUGAGUUUCACACUAUUAAUGCAAAGUUCUUUCCGAGUGUCCUACCAGCAAUCAAGCUGAGUGCUUCCUCAUAAAAGGCCUUCUGAGCACUAGAGGGCAAGUUGGCCACUAACAGCUUUAAGGCACGAGGUCCCACAAAAAGGGCAGGCCUAUUCAGAUGUCAACUCCAAGCCAUGUGGUGGCUAGGCAAGGGAACAAAGGCCUACGAAAAAACAUAAAGGCUGAUAGGUAGAGUGCUCGGUUACGAGUUCCACCAACACCAAGGUCGAACAAAGCACUCGGUCGCAUCAGCUCAAAAAAGGACACAAGUGAACCUAUUCUAGUGGCCCCUUGUUGCCACUUGUGGCCAAAUUACGUAGGGACAACUAGUAGGUCUACUUUUUGGAUUUGGCGCAUUAAAUGCAAAGAAAGUGAUGGAUUCAAACCAAGACGCUGAAGGUUUAGAGGAAGGCUUAUGUAAGUACAACGAGUACUUCUUAGAAAAGGUCAGACGAAUUGAGAGACAAUCAUACUAUUCUAGCCAAGCACUACUUGUAACCUUGUUUUCAUUUUAUACAAAAAACUAGUAAACGUAGCCAAGUUUUGAAGGAUGAACCACAUUAAUCCUUUGUCUAUUAUCAUUUGUUUGCAAAGCCCAAAUCCAUCCAGGACAAACACUUGAUCCAUUCAACAUUUGUUAGUCUCACCAGUUUUGAGCGUUAACACACACGUUAAUUAACUUGACUCUGUUACUAUGAACAAUGUUGAGAUUACACCACAGACGCUGUUUUGGAUAGACAAAUGUAACCUAAGUAGGUUGGUUUUGGAUAUCUGGAGGAUGGUGUGGUAUAUAUCGGAUUGGGCAGAGUACAUUACAUUCGUUGUGUAUGUAUGGAGUGUUCUGUUCAGUGUCUGUCAUUCAAAUAAACUAGUUAGGGAUGUGACAUAAGGGAGCACAUAUUUCAUUUGCUUCUGUUGAUUUUCAGGAGGUGCUUGUGUUCUCUACAUCGUUGUUGUUUGCAGCCUUGUAUUUUUUGAGUUAGCUCUAUGUUGUCUUUUUUCAGCUGUUACUGUUUUCCAGCUUUUAUUAAUUACUAUAUAAUUCAUAUGGUCAUAUCUGACAAAAAGAUUUACCAGAAUUUACUAAGGCUUCAUCUCUUACAAUUUCUUGUGGCCUUUCAGAUGGAUGCUCAAAAUUUUGGUCUUUCGCAUAUUAUUGAAGUAGGUGGAGAUUGAUAGAUUGUAUAUGUGCUUAUUGUAUGGUUAGAUUGGUCUAGGAUUGAGACAUGUGUCAUAGUAUUGUUUGUUGACUGCAAGUUACAAGUGUGAAUAGGAAGGUAUAACCUAUAGAUACCAUCUUCAACCCUUGAAUUAAAACCUAAAAUUUUUAAUCCAGAAUAUUUAGGUCUUAACCCAGAACCUUAUGGGUUAAAUUUUUAGUUCAAGAUUAUUAAAGAAUGAAUUUACGAUGAUUUUUUUCUUAAAGUAACUUUAAAAAAAAACAGUAUGUAGACUAUCCUAAUUUAAUUUUACGAACAUUUUAACCUAAAAAUGUUUAGAUUCCGAUAAAUAUUAAAAAAUCACUAAAUCGACACCAUGAAACUCAUGGAACAUUGUGAAAUAUAUAAAAGAUUUUUUUUAAUUACUCUAGCCGUUGGGUUUAAAUUUUGAUUGUUAGGUUUUUUUUUUCUUCUUUUACCUUUGGUUUUGAUCAUACUAAAUCUUAGUUGUUGGAUUCAAUGAAUUUAUAAAUAUAAAGUUAAAAAAAUACACAUAUAUGGUGGCCCAACCCCACUAACCUAGGGAAAUCCUGGCCUAAAUUUGUCUAAGAAAUGAGUUUUUGGUUAAAACUCAUAUUUGUCCUAAGGUUUGGAGUAAGUUGGGGUGAGUUUAAAACCUAAAGAGUACAUUGUAGCAAUAGUCCCUCAACUUUAAUCAAAUUGGAGCAAUGAUCCCUCAACUAAAAAUCCAUUACUAUUGAUCCCUUAACUCAUCAAAAUAUGUAGCUAUAGUCUUUUUCGUCAACUUCGUUAGAAUUUUAUGAAAAUAAGUUAUGUUGGAAGAACCAUUGCUACAAUUGGGGUCUCUGAACUCAUGAAAAGCUGUAGCUAUGGUCAUUUUCAUCAAUUUCGUCAGAAUUUUGUCAAAUAAGUUAUGUUUAAAUGACCAUUGCUACAAUAUGAUUAAAGUUGAGGGACCAUUGCUACAAUAUGAUUAAAGUUGAGGGACCAUUACUAUAAUAUGAUUAAAGUUGAGGGACCAUUGCUCCAAUUGAGUUAAAGUUGAGAGAUCAUUGCUCUAGUUGGAUUAAAGUUGAGGGAUCAAUGAUAAUGAAUUUUUAGUUGAAGGAUCAUAUUUGCACGUUUUGACGAGUUGAGGGACCAAUGGUAAUGAAUUUUUAGUUGGGGGAUCAUUGCUUCAAUUGAGUUAAAGUUAAGGGACCAUUGAUACAAUUUACUUAAAUCUAAACUUUGAGUUUUACUCCAAAGGUUGGAGUAGGUCUUAGAGAUGUAAUUAUAAUACAAUCAAUGAAUGAAAAGUAAUUCAGCUCUCUCCCUCUCUCUCAGAGAUGUAAUUAUAAUACAAUCAAUGAAUGAAAAGUAAUUCAGCUCUCUCUCUCUCUCUCUCUCUCUUUCUCUCUCUCUCCCUCUCUCUCUCUACUCCUUGCUCUCGUGUCCGUAAGCUCAAUAUCUCUUGAUUCCACCAUUGUUGGGACCAAGUUUGUGAGGAUGGACCAUGCGUAUUUUCAGAUGCUAAAACCAGUUCCAAAGAUGAACAGGAACCGUCAGCAUCCAUGCGGAAGCUUUUGAUAGCAGUUGUCCUCUGUGUCAUUUUCAUGAGUGUAGAGGUUGUUGGGGGUAUCAAAGCUCACAGCCAAGCAAUUCUCACCGAUACGGCUCAUUUAUUGUCAGAUGUUGUCGCAUUUGCAAUUUCUUUGUUCUCGCUCUGGCCAUCAGGAUGGGAGGGAACUCAUCGUCAGUCUUACGGCUUCUUCCAGAUUGAAAUACUAGGUGCUCUUGUUUCCAUUCAGAUGAUUUGGCUGCUUGCUGGAUCCUUGUUUAUGAAGCCAUUGCAAGACUUAUCAAUGACACUGGUGAAGUUAUGGGCUUCCUCAUGUUUCUUAUUUCUGCGUUUGGUUUACUGGUUAAUAUAGCCAUGGUACUCUUAUUGGGUCAUGAUCAUAGGCACGAUCACGGACAUGGACAUGGCCAUGGUGGGCAUGGUCAUGGACAUGGUGAUCACAAUCAUAGUUAUGAGGGUCAUGACGAGACCCAUAACCAUGGGAUUAUUCUUACAACACAUCACUCUUGUUGACCUAUAUUGACUUAGAAAUGCCACAUAAUCUGCCAUGUAAUGUGCCAUGUCAUCAAUAAUGCAGUUGAGAGUUAGUUAGGAUGGUUGUAUGUGGCUUACAAGAGAAGGAAGUUAGUUAGGAUAUAAGAUGUAUAAAAAGGUAGUUCUCGGUCUAUCUUGUGUACUGAGAAUUCUUUUAAUCAAUACAAUUCCUCUAUCUUCUUUUAAUUCUUCUCUUGAGUUCUUCCUUUCUCUUUAUUUUCUGCAAUUCUAAUUCUUCUGUUAAGAUGGUAUCAAAAGCCAUGACGGUAUUUGGUGCUACGUUUUCCGCUGAUGAGUUCGUUGAAGUUUUUGGUGGGUUGUUGCUGUUCGUACAGGCUUGUUGAUUGGAUUUUUCUUCGAGUCUUGGGUUGUUACGCAAAGUAUCAGGUUGGCUACUUUUCUCUCUUAUCUUCUGCACACCAAGUGUUUGUGUUUUUGCAUCAGUGAAGAAUUAUGGCGAUUUUGGGUGUUUGCUUGGUUGUUUGUAUCUGGGUUCUUUUUGUACAUGAUUAAGGCCGAUGCCAAGAAUUGUUCAGAGUAUUGUCAAUUGUUGAAGUUUAUGAGUUUGCUGAAGUAAAAUUGUUAAGGCCGAUGCCAAGUGUGUUUGAUAAUAUUUAAGUUUGCAAAUUGUAUGUUGAGAAAAAGAUUUAUGUCAAGACUGUUUUGGUAUAGAGUUGUCAUUAAAGUUGAAAUUUGCAGAAGAUUGAAACCAGAAGGUUGGUAAAUUUGUCAAGCAUAUUAAGUUGAAGUUGUGGCUUUAUUGAGGUUGUUGCUUUAUAGUGUGUUGUAGACUUUCUUGAAAAUGUUCAGUCAUCAACAUGUCUGAUAAGUCCGUAAGAAUUGAGAAUUUACUGGGAUUGUUAACUGUUAAGUUGCACGAUGAUAACUUUGUGAAGUGGGAUUAUCAGUUUCGGUCAGUUUUAAGAGGGUAUGAGUUCUUGGAUUUCUUUACUGGUGAGUCUUCUUGUCCACCAAAAUUUGUGAUUGAUACUGAAGCUGGAGUAACUAAAGAAAUUACUGAGGUGUAUAAAUCUUGGGUUCAAAAAGAUAUGGCGCUAUUGAGUUUGAUAAUUGCCACUUUUUCUGAUGAUGCAAUGGAAUAUGUGAUUGGGUGUAAAACUUCUCAUGAAGCUUGGACAAACUUACAAGACAGAUAUGCUUCCGUGUCUCGAGCUAGGAUAAAUCAACUUAAGACUAAAUUUCAUACGAUUUAAAAGGGUGGUGAUUCUAUCGACAAAUAUCUGCUCAAAUUGAAGGCGAUUCGAGAUCAGCUUAUUGCUGCAGGAGAGAGAGUGACAGAUAAUGAUUUGGUGAUUGCUGCACUGUCUGGUUUGCCAUCUGAGUUUGAUGUAGUUAAGACAGUGAUUCUAGCAAGGGAAACUUCGAUUCCUUUGAAAGAUUUCAGGGCACAAUUGAUUGGUGCUGAGUUGACUAUAGAAGCAAGAAUCAACAUAUUGACAAGUGGCAUGGCUGCGAUGUAUGUUCAAGGGAGUCAGUCUAAGAAUGGGAGUCAAACUGAUAGUUAUUCACAAGGAGAGAGUUCAAGUACUGGUUCCAAGGCUGUUGAUGGUCAAGCGUAUUAAGGAAAUAACAGGUCUUACAAUAACAGAAAUGGUUAUAGUUCUUCACAGAAUUAUAACACGAAUAGUUAUGGGGGAUAUGGUUCAUUCAAUAACUCAAGGCCUUAUUAGGGAUAUCGACAGAGAGGAGGAAACAAUUAUAAUGGUUCACAGAACUCUUGGAAUGGAAAUUCUUGGAAUGCUAAUACUAAUUUCAGAUAUGGUGUUGUGGUUGAAUGUCAAAUAUGCUCUCGAAGGGGGCAUACUGCUCCAAAUUGUCUGAAUAGAAGUGAUACAGGUUCUUAUUCAAAUGGAUUUCAGAUUACUACAUGUCAAAUUUGUGGGAAGAAAGGGCAUAAUGCUCUUGAGUGUAGGCACAGAAACAAUUAUGCAUAUCAAGGUGCACCUCCACCCCCUUCUCUCAUUGCAUUUUCUGCUCAAGCUCCAUCUCAUAUGUCUGCAACAGAAUUUGGUCAGAAUGCUCAAGGAUUUAAUGCUGCUGAUCGUGGGUGUUGGACACAGGGGCAUCACACCAUAUGACACCUAAUCUUGCAAAUUUGAAUCAACCGGUACAAUACAAUGGUGAUGAGAAAAUCACCAUUGGUAAUGGGGAAGGUUUGAUUAUUAAACACAUUGGUUCUGCAUUCCUUACAACUCCAUACCAUUCGUUGUCUCUAAAAAAUAUAUUACAUGUUCCGACAAUUACUAUUAAUCUUUUGUCUGUCAAGAAAUUUUGUAAAGAUAAUAGUUGUUGGUUCACAUGUGAUGAGAAUGUGUUUGUUAUACAGGACAAGGCAACAGGACGGAGAUUGUACCAAGGCAAGAGUAGAGAAGAGCUAUAUGAGAUUCCUGUGAGUGUAUUUUCAAGAAGAAUGGGUACUGUUUUCAAUAAAGCUGUGGCGUUGCUUGGGAAGGCUGUGAAGAGUUCAAUUUGGCAUAAGAGACUUGGACACCCAUCUGAAGAAGUCCUUGCUAUUAUGCUUCAAAAUGCAGGACAAUCACCUAGUGAGGAUUCAUCACCUUCAGUUUGUUCUUCCUGUUUUUCUGGAAAAAUGUGUAGGCAACCUUUCUCUGUAAAAGACACUAGGGUUAGUUCUAUUUUUGAAAAGAUACACUCGGAUAUAUGGGGACCUGCUCCAACUAAGUCUUUAGAAGGCUUUAGGUACUAUGUGAGUUUUAUUGAUGAGUUUAGUAGAUUUGUAUGGAUCUUCCCACUUAUCAAUAAAUCAGAUAUUUUCCAAAUCUUCAUCAAUUUCUCUGCAUUUGUUACAAAUCAGUUUCAUACUACAAUCAAGUGUUUACAAACAGAUGGUGGUUCUGAAUAUAAGAGUCAUAAGUUUCAGUCAUUUUUGGCAGCUAAAGGGAUUGUACAUUCUAUUUCAUGUCCAUAUACCCCUCAACAAAAUGGUCUUACUGAGAGGAAGCAUAGACACCUAGUAAAGAUUGCAAUUACACGUCUUAGUGAAGCUGGGAUCCCAUUACAGUUUUGGAAUUAUGCUUGCAAUCAUGCUGCAUUUCUUAUAAACAGAAUGCCAUGUAAGAUUUUGGGAAUAAAGUCUCCAUAUCAGUUACUGUUUCAUCAAGAACCAAUGCUGCAUACUUUGAAAAUAUUUGGUUCUGUAGUUUAUCCAUUUCUAAGGCCAUACAAUCAGAACAAACUGCAACCUAGAUCUAAACAGUGUGUUUUUCUUGGUUUUGCUGCUGGAUACAAGGGAGUGGUAUGUUAUGAUAUAUCUAGUAAUAAGCUUGUGUUGUCCAGACAUGUCAUUGAUGAUGAGAAUACGUUCCCUUUCAAGAGUCCAAAACAGUUGUCUUCGGUUAAGUCAAACAAUUCACAAGGUCCACAACUGCCUCCAAUCAUUGUUCAAUUGUCCUCUUUUGGUACAAGGGCAGAUCAUACAGCUUCUCUGAUUCAUGAAGAUUCAUAUGUAAAUCCUGUAAUUGUUGAAGACUGAUCACGAGACAGUUUGCAGAAUCUAAGUUCAUCUACUCAAGACUCGCAGGAUCUCGGUCAUCAUAGUCACAGCUCUUCUCACUCUACUCUAUCACCUUCAAAUCAAAGUACAAUGUCACUAUUGCCUGUCCAUAGUCCGUCACAAUUAGAGGUACUACCACCCAUCUCUUCUCCUUUGGUUCAUUCUACUGACCAAGCGGUUCAUUCUAUGGUCACAAGAUUGAAGUCAGGUACAAUUUCACGGAGAUCAUACACAGGAUUCAUUGCUUCAUCUCCAGAGUUACAAACAUUACAGAUCGCUGAUGAGAGUGACUUUAAUGGUGGUUUCUCCUUUGUUGCUGUAAUUAAAGAUAUGGAUGAGCCCUCUACAUUCUGAAAAGCUUCUCCAAUUCCUCAAUGGCAAAAUGCCAUGCAAGAAGAGUUCAAUGCACUAAAAGCUCAAGGUACAUGGGAAUUGGUUCCUCCUCCACAAAACAGAAUGGUUAUUGGAAGCAAGUGGGUUUACAAGAUUAAGAAAAACUCUGAUGGGAGUGUAGCUCGAUAUAAAGCAAGACUUGUGGCUCAGGGAUUCUCACAAGAACAAGGUCUGGACUAUUCAGAAACUUUUAGUCCAGUAGUAAGACACACUACUAUGCGGAUGAUUUUGUCCUUAGCAGCAAUACACAAAUGGGAAUUGAGACAGUUAGACAUCAAAAAUGCAUUUCUACAUGGUGAGUUACAACAAGAGGUGUACAUGAAAUAGCCUCAGGGGUUUGUUGAUCAAACCAACCCCAAUUAUGUUUGUAAAUUGGUCAAAUCGUUGUAUGGGUUGAAACAAGCUCCUCGAGCUUGGAAUUCAAAGUUCACAAGCUAUUUACCAGCCUUGGGGUUUGUUGCUUCUGCAUCUAACACUAGUAUUUUUAUGAAAAAUGAUGAUAAGGAUGUGAUCAUUCUAUUACUAUACGUGGAUGACAUUAUUCUAACAGGAUCAAAUGUUACUAAAGUCCAACAAGUUAUUGUAGAUUUGGCCGGUGUGUUUGACUUGAAGGAUAUGGGCAGACUUACAUAUUUCUUGGGUCUCCAAAUUCAGUACAAAGAGAAUGGGGAUAUCUUUGUGAAUCAAUCAAAGUAUGUUAAAGAUUUGAUUAACAAAGCUGGAAUGGAGUCGUGCAAACCUGCCAAUACUCCAUGCAAACCACAUAGUCAGAUGCUCUUGAAUGAAGGCACACCAUUACCGGACUCUACAUUGUAUCGAAGCUUGGUUGGCUCACUGUAGUAUCUUACCUUCACACGUCCCGACAUAGCUUAUGCUAUGAAUUCAGUUUGUCAAUUCAUGACUGCUCCAACAGAUGUCCAUCUAAUCUCUGUCAAACGGAUCAUUAGGUAUCUUUAAGGUACUAUAGACUGUCGAAUUACAUAUUCAGUUGAUUCUGUCAUGAAUUUAACAGCAUUUUCAAAUGCUGAUUGGGCUGCUGGUUUAAAUACAAGAAGGUCCGUGACAGGAUAUGUAGUUUAUCUUGGAGGCAAUCCGAUCUCUUGGCAAUCAAAGAAGCAACCAUCCAUUUCUAGAAGCUCUACAGAAGCAGAAUACAAGGCCCUAGCUCAUACUGCAGCUAAUGUCGCGUGGAUUCGGCUCAUUUUAAAAGAUUUGGGAAUUGUUCUACCUGUUUAACCUACAAUCUAUUGUGAUAAUAUGUCAGCAAUUGCCCUUAGUGCAAAUCUUGUCUAUCAUUCCCGGAUAAAACAUCUUGAUACGGAUUACCAUUUUGUCCGGGAGAGGGUGCAUCAAGGUGAUCUCAACGUUGAAUAUCUCUAUACUGCUGAACAGAUAGCUGAUAUUCUAACAAAGGGCCUCCAUAGUCCAAUUUUCACUCAACAUUGUUUCAAUCUCAAACUCGGUUACCUUAGUUGAGAUUGCGGGGGGGAUGUUGACCUAUAUUGACUUAGAAAUGCCACAUAAUCUGCCAUGUAAUGUGCCAUGUCAUCAAUAAUGCAGUUGAGAGUUAGUUAGGAUGGUUAUAUGUGGCUUACAAGAGUAGGAAGUUAGUUAGGAUAUAAGAUGUAUAAAAAGGUAGUUCUCGGUCUAUCUUGUGUACUGAGAAUUCUUUUAAUCAAUACAAUUCCUCUAUCUUCUUUUAAUUCUUCUCUUGAGUUCUUCCUUUCUCUUUAUUUUCUGCAAUUCUAAUGCUUCUGUUAAGAACUCUCAUCACCAAGAGGUGCACUCGAAUGAUGACGACAAGCACCAUCAUACCGAGGUAGUUAACAUCACAGAACCUUUGUUCAAUCAUAGCUCUGAAGGUGAUAAGAAACCAGAAGGUAAGAAGAAGAAGCAACGAAACAUCAAUGUGCAGGGGGCUUAUCUUCAUGUACUUGGCGAUUCCAUUCAGAGUAUUGGAGUGAUGAUUGGCGGAGGGCUUAUCUAGUACAAGCCUGAGUGGAAGAUUGUUGAUCUGAUAUGUACACUUGUAUUUUCAAUAAUUGCGUUGGCAACAACAAUCCGGAUGUUGAGGAACAUUUUAGAGGUUUUGAUGGAGAGCACUCCCAGAGAGAUUGAUACCACAAAGAUUGAGAAAGGUCUCUGCAAGAUGGACGAGGUAGUUGCCAUUCACGAGCUUGGGCGAUAACUAUUGGGAAGGUGAAUGGCUUGUCACGUUAUCGUUAAGCCGGAUGCUAAUGCUGAUAUGGUGCUGGAAAAGGUUGUAGACUAAACCAAGAGAGAAUAUAAUAUUAGUCAUGUAAGAUUCAAAUAGAACGUCAAUAGAGACAUGAAACGUCAUUAGAGAUGGAGAGAGACAAUAUGUCAAUGCCCGACUGUUAUAAUUAGGCCAGUUCAAAGUUUUUAAGACUUGAAAGAUUGUAAUAUAUCAUCCGAUUUGUUUGAGUGGAUAUUUAAUGUUGGGCAUAGUGCGAUUGGAGGCCCAAGAACACAAAAAAGUAGAAGAGGAUUGGGCUAGGAUAGUUGGCAGCCCAGUAAGAAUUGAAAAUCAUUUUUACCAAGAAAUAGGCAACAAGCCUAUGUGAGAGGUGACAUAUAGAGGACAACUCACCCCUAGUAAAAAGUACUUUUCAAGGGCAUGGAUAGGUAAACAAAUGGUGACUCACCAUAUUCUGGAGGCCAUCACCAAAAAAUGGAGGCUUGGACAGUCAGGCUAGAGAGUUUAUAAAAGCAACGAAGGACACAAGGAAGAAGGACACUCAACCAAUCAAUCAAAAGACAUCCAACUUUGCACUCCAACAAGUAAGAAACCAUAAAGCUUUAGUUUGUUCAAACUUUACCCUUUUAGUCACAAAUCCACCAUAGAAAGCUAUCUUUUGUCAAGUUUUAGAAGCUCUACUACCUUUUCCUUGUGUUGUAGUAUCGAAUCCCUUUAUUAAACCCGAUUUAUAUUUCAUUCUCCAAAGAUUACAACCCCUGUAAAACACAAAGAAAAGUGGUUGCAAUAAGACGAACCUUGCUUGACAAGGUCAUAAUCUUGCCCGAGUUUCUUUUGUUUGUACUUACAUAAAGUAGAUACGUUAUUUUAUGCAGCUUUCAUUGUAUCCUAUAUCAUUUUCAACUGCUUUUCAUUCAAAGUUUCAUCUAUGAUUAAUCUUGCUAGACUAAUUAGCCUUGCUUCUUUAGUGUUAACCGUAACCAAAGAAAUAAUUUGAAGGGCCAUGAACUCUCUUUAAUUGGACAUAUGAUAUUAUGAGUAAAAGUUCUUGUUUACAAGGCAAGAAAAAGAAGUCUAAAUAACUUGUGGCCCAAGUAAUCAACCUAUUUAAUAACCAAACAAGAACAAUCUGUUAUACAAAUAUAACGGUGGCACACUUAGACCCAUAUUAGUUUUGAUUGUGAGCCUUAAGGCCUAACAAUGGCCCCACAAAGGCACCAUUCAAACUAAUAACAAACUCAUAUUGUAGUACACCAAGCGGCAAACCUUGCUCGACAGGCAAGAUCCAGGGGAGUUGUGCGAGGGACAAAUCUAGCCCGAACAUAAUUUUGGCACACCCGGUGGGACCUAUUUUGUAAUAUUAUAUGCCAAGAUGAAGGAAGGAUCGAACGUUCAGGUGGAAGGUGGAAUUUGGGCAACCUCUUUGUCCAACAGUAACAGGCAUGACAUAUCACCCAAAGGACUUUCCUUCACCCCACAACCCCAGGAUCUUAGAAAGCCCGAAAUCUUCUGAGAAGAUGGGUGGAAAUGUCACUAAUGAAGAUUUGCAAGCCACCAUGAUGUAAGUAUUGAGAAGUAUGGAGAAUAUUUCUUUGAAAACCAGAGGAGAGGUUAACAAGUUGUGUUCCUUAAUAGGAACACUACAAAGAAAGUUGGAAUUAGAAUACUCCACACCGAAAGAUGGUUAGGCCAGUGAAAGAGUCGUGGAGACAUGCCCAGAAAAGGAACUAGUAAUUCCUCAGUUUCCCUUGAAGAAAAGAAGAACAAAGGGAAAAGGAAGGAAAAGGCUGAAACCAGUUGGCAAGAAGACCAUAAAGAAGAGUUUCAAAAGGCAGGCUUGCCCGAUUCUCUGCCGCCACCACCAAAUGUUAGAAGGCAAAUCUGGUAGGAAUGAAUAAAGAUUGGUGCAUCUAACUUAGCGGGAGAAAUAAGUGGAAAUGGCUUAUUCACAACUAGGGGCAAGCCUCUUCCUUACAAGCCAAAACCAUUGGUUAAUAAGGAAUGAGGAGAAGCUAGAUGGAGGCAGUCGACGUAUAAAGAUAAGCUUUCUUAGGCAUUGAUCAUGGCCUGAAGUGGGGGACUUCUUAUCCUCCAUACAAUAAUAUGGCCAAUUAACAACUCAGGAAUAAGUUGGCAGAAUUGAGAAUGAUGGUGGUAUAUAAUGCUCAACCUCAAGCCUAACUGAUGUUUAGGAUAACAUAUCAAAAGCCUUAUCUUGAGUAUGUUAAUAAGCAUAAUCCUUUCCCUCUCAAUUUCAAAAUGCUCAUGUUCCCAACUUGCAGCGGGGAAGACUGUAAUGUAUCAUCUAAAGAUCAUAUUUUCAAAUUUUUGAAUGAUUGUGUGGCAUUCGAGGACAACCCCACCUACAAACUGAGAUUGUUUGAGAACUCACUGGUGGGCUUGGUUUCCCAAUGGUACUCUCUGUUACCCCUUAAUUCCAUUGCUAACUGGGGGCAAAUGGAGAUGGCCUUUCAUGAGCAGUUCUAUAGGGUGGAACCUAAGAUGACCAUUAAUGAUCUGGUAGAAGUGAAGUAAUAUGAACAUGAAUCUAUAGAGGAUUUUAUGAUUAGGUUUAGGGAGACUAGGAUGAGAUGCCAGUUUCCAAUCAACCAUGCUCAACACAUAGCCAUUGCCCAGAAGGCUAUGAGACUACCUUUGAGGAAGAAGUUCUAUGAUGUGCAGUUUAACGAGCUUCGGAAGCUGGUGAUUGCGGCCACUAAGUUUGAGAAGCUACUGAUAGAAGAACAGCAGGUGGAGCAUUUAGCUAAAGUACCUCAUUUUUAUAAAAAUAAAGCAACAAUACAUCAAUUGGAGUUUGAAGACCUAGAGGUAGGAGAAAUGUUACUUGGGAGAAGAGAUAAAGCUAUAUGUGGCAGAGAUAACCACUCAUUUCAAACCUUUGAUGGUGAAAAGAUUGGUUCAACCUAUCAAAGACCAGAAGAUUGUGACAAAUGAUGGAGGGUUUGUACCCAUGAAACCUCCAAAGUAUCAAUCAUAUUCCAUUGACUUAACUAAGGCUGCAGACAUCUAUGAAGAACUAGUAAGGGCUCGAGUAAUCUUGCCCGACAUCACUAAGAAAUGCCUAAAUCUGAAAAAUUCAGAGGGAAAAAGUAUUGCAAGGUCCACUACACCUUCAACCACUCCAUUGAUAAUUGUGUGCAAUUCAGAGAUUGGAUCUAAGACCUUAUAGUUAAAGGGAAUUGUUGUUGGAAAAACCCUAAGCCAACAUGAUGAUUAACAUAGAUUCAUUCUCUGAAGCCUCAAUCAACAUGAUAAAUCUUAAUUAGGUUGAGAAGGGGAAAGAAAAAGUUACUCUGGAUGAAAGAGGAGAAAGCCUUAUGCUUGUGGGAGGACCUUAGAUUUAUAAGCUUCUCAAGGCUUGCCUUUGGAUGGAUUUGGCUUUAAUUUAUGUCCUAAUUCAUUCAUGGGAGAAUUUAGGGAUGUUUUUUUGUCUUAGUCUCAGCCACUUUACUCCCUUGGAUGAAAUUAUGAGGCCUUGUUGCCUAUUUUGUGAGCAAUCUUCAAUUAUUGCUUGUUUAUGAAGAUGCCUUAACUUUUUUUCCGGUUUUGAGAGUAUUUUGAUCCUUUGCCGAAUUUAAAAGGGAUUCUCCCUUGUUUUCCUAGUUUUUGGGGAAGUUUUCUCCUUCCUUUGCUUGAUUUAUGCCACGUGUCAUUGAUGACUUGUCCAUUUGUGAUGAAUCAUAUGCCAUGUGGAGCUUUGUGAUGCAUCAUUUGUAUGCAAUGAAACUUACAUAUCUUCAGGGCUUCUCUUAUAUCUUCAUCAUAUUUCCCAGACCACUUGGCUUCCCAUCAAGUGCUGAACAGAGAUGUGCACUCAAAAUUAAGAGCCGCAUGCUUAUGAGCAAUCUUGGUCAUUACCUUCAAGCUACGCUUGCUUGCUCAAAACGUAGCCUCUGAAGGAGAAUGGAGGUGAUAGGAAGUUCCAUACUGGACUGAAUCGAAGAAAGGGACUGGGAUUGCCUGUCUAAACCCCAGUUGCCUACCAUAAAAGUUGGAUGGGGGGGUAGACCUCCAGCCCGCGUUGAUAGCCCGCUCGAUCAUUGUAAACAUGAAAAUUCUAUAUCAAAUGAAACGAGAACGCGUGUACAAAUUAGAUUUGUAUUGAUGAAUUUGUAGGGUUACAAUCUCUGUUUUCAACUUUCCUUUUAUUCAAUUGUAAAAUUUGAUGUAGAUGGAGUAGGUUGUUGAUCCAAGGGUCGUGAUGACUUGAUCUUGAAUGAACGAUUGAAUGAUUGCUUCAAGUUUUGAGCUUGAAAAAAUGCUUGGAUGAUCUUUACCUCAAAGUUGUGGCAAAGGUAGUGUAGAUGUGAGAUUUUGUUGAUUCAAGGGUCUUGGCGACUUAAUCUUGAAUCGAACAUUUAUUACAAGUUUUGAGCAUGCAACCAAGUCUUGAAGGAAUCAUCGCAAGUGCUUGUUGAUUAUUCAUGGGAAUGCUUCAGCUUUGGUUGAAAGAAAGCUUCGGCUUUGGUCAAAAUAAAGCUCGGCUUUGGUUAUGUGUUCUUUGAAGAGAGCUUUGGCAACAUAUUAGUCUUCAAAGAGUUGGUAGAUGUUCUCCCUUUUUGAGAAUUUCAGCCCUUCAAUGUAGAAAUUGUCGACCUUGUGCUUGUCUUAGGACCUUGUAUUUAUAGACUACCAAAGCCAUGCCUUUGGAUGGAUUCGGCUUCUAUUUAUGUCUUGAUUCGUCCAAUGGAGAAUUUAGGCAUGUUUUUUGUCUUUUUUUCAACCACUUUCCCUUGCUUGGCUGAAUUAUAAGGCUUUCUUGCCUAUUUUGCGAGCAAUCUUCAAUUCUUGCUUGUUUUGUGAAGAUGCUUUAACUUUCUUUCUAGUUUUAGGAGCAAUUUGGGCCCUUUGCCAAUUUUAAAGAAUUUCUUCCCCCUUUUGCCGAUUUUGGGGAAGUUUUAUUCUUCCUUUGCUUAAUUUAUGCCACAUGUCAUUGAUGGUGGGUCUAUGCUAUGUGGAGCUUUAUGAUGGAUCUUUUGCAUGCAAUGAAAUUUACAUGUCUACAAAUGCCCCCACUUCAAGGUGCAUUGUUGGCAUGUGCUUGUCACAUGUAGGAAACGUAUUUUGAAGUCUUGCAAUGUGAAUGUUCUAACUCAAGGAUUGUCGAGACUUGAUCUUGAACUAGUUUGCUUCUUCAAGGGCCGUAGAGGCGUAUUUCUUGAAUGAAACAUUUCUUCAAGGGCCGUUGAGGCUUGGUCUUGAAUUGAAGUGAUGAAUUUCGUCAAGAGCCGUUGAAUUGUAUUUCUUGAACGAAACAUUUCUUCAAGGGCCGUUGAGGCUUGGUCUUGAUGAAUUUCGUCAAAAGCCGUUAAGGCGUAUUUCUUGGAUGAAACAUUUCUUCAAGGGCCGUAGAGGCUUAAUCUUGAAUUGAAGUGAUGAAUUCCGUCAAGAGUUGUUGAGGUGUAUUUCUUGGACAAAACAUUUCUUCAAGGGCCGCAGAGGCUUAAUCUUGAAUGAAAUGGAAAUUUUCUUCAAGAGCCGUAGAUGCUUGAUCUUGAAUUAAAUGCAAAUUGUCUUCAAGGGCAGUAAAGGCAUGAUCUUUAGUGAAAAUGAAAUUUUUCUUCAAGGGCCAUAGAGCCUUAAACUUGAAAGAAAUUAAUUUUUUUUUUCUUCAAGGGCCGUAGGGGCGUGAUCUUGAAAGAAAUUUUUAGAAAUAGAUAAAUCGGCACAUACUUAUUGUAUGUAUUGAUUUUCCAUAAUUUUGACAAAAUACAUUUGGUGUAGUUUGAAUUUUUUUUCCUUGUGGUUGUAGGAAUCUCUCCUUCAAUUUUGGUAAUGAGGGUGAUUUCCUUCAAAGUGUUGGAAAGCUUUAGUGAUUUCCUUUAAGGUUUUGGAAAGAUUUAAUGCUUAUCCUUGGGCAAGUAGGAUUUGCAUUUUUCCUUUCCUUUUUUUUUUCUUUUUUCUUUUUUCUUUUUUCUUUCCAGCCAAGGGGAUGUUAUUCCCUCUUGAUUUGGGAAACUUGAAGGCUUGCCCUUGCUUUGGAGGGAUUCCUUUUUGUAUUUUGGCAAGGAAAUGGGCUUUCCUUUGUUGUUUUAGAAAUUUUGAAGCCCUUUCUAUUUUUUUUUUGUUCCUUUUCUUUUCCUUUGCUGAUUUAUUUUAUUUUUGUUGUAGGAAAAACAAGAUGUUUCCCCUUGUUUGCCGAUUUUCACAAUUGCCUUUUUUGCUUGGAAUUUGUUUCCUUCUUUUGGUAGGAAUGUGUUUCCUUCUUUUGAUUUUCCUUUUACUAUUUGGUAUGUAUUUCUUCCUAUAGCAUUAGGAAGCAAUUGACCCUUAUUUAUAGGACAAUUAGGAGUGAGUUUUUGGCAUAACAAGUCUUGCCAUGCACUGCCUAUAUGCUUCCUGCUGUGGGAUUUUUUUUUUUGCUGCUACCGUGAGUUUUGGUCUUUGGAGCUUGUUGCAAGGCAUCACUUUUUACCAUGUGGUGCUGUGCAAAAGACUGUAGCAGGGUUUUACUGUGUAGUGCCUUUUGGUCAAAGUUUUCCCUCAGUAGUGACGUUGUCGUGCAGUGCAAGAAAUUGUUUUCGUAAUCACUGCGGGGUUGCGUAGUGCAAUUGGGUAGCAUUUUGGUUUUCUUUGCUACUAUAGUGUGCUUUGAAGCUUCGUCUUCUAGCUGCCUUCUUUGUCAUGUCGUUCAAGCUUUUUGUCGUUGAUUUAUUCUCGUUGUUGUGACUUUGUCGUCAUCAAUCUUCAACGCUUACGAGGUUUAUCUCGCAUGUCUUUUGCUUUAGUGAAGCAAUCUUCUUUUCUUUUCUUUUUCUUGUUGCCCCACUCUUAUGCUUAUGUUGCCUUGUUUGUUUGUUUUUUUUAUUUUCGUUGCAGCCAUGGUAUUUUUCAAGUGCUUUAAGAGCAAUACCAUCACUAUUCUUGUGAAGGAAGGCAACUCGCAAGAUAAGGAAAUGACGUUGAAGAUUUGUGCACCAUUGACUGACCCUAAGGCGUUUGUUCUUCUUGCAAAAGACAACUUGAUGUAUAUCAAGUCAUGGUCUUCUGAAGUAUCUUGGGAGGUGAAAGAUUUUGGUCGUUUGAAUAUUAAUAAGGCGUGUAUGUCGAGAAUUCUUAUCUUGAACCCUUCGCACCAUGUUUAUGAAGAUUCAUUGGCUUCGUUUGAGCUUAUUGGCAAUCGCAUCAUUAACAGAGAUGUGACUUGGAAUGGCAUCUUGUCGACUACUGGAAAAGUCGUCUUUGCUGAAUUUUACUAAGAAUGGCUUGAAGAUGUCUUGAGCCGAUCCAAAGAUUUGCUUACUAAUGUAGGCCUUUAUCACGCUAUGUAUACAUCUUUGUUUAGUUAUGAACACCAUCAUUCUGUCCUUCAUGCAUUCUUUGAGCAUUGGUGUUCAGUGACCAACAGACUUCACACGUCACAAGGGAAGAUGCCAAUUUCACUUUGGGAUCUCCACAAGAUAAGAGGCUGUCAAUCCAAGGUAAGUUUUACAAUGAGGUGGUUCCUAACAUGGAGGAAUUUUCUCAUCGCAACAGCCGAUGAUUGCCUGCGAGUUGUCGCUACUUGUUUUGGGCGUAUCACAAACUUUCCCAAGAGGCUCAAGGUAAGUCAGGCGUGAAGAUUUCUUCUUAUUUUGGUGUUGGGAUGCCAUGAAGUACACGAAGCCUUUGAAGAAAAGUGGCCGCAACAAGACCACUAAGCCAAAGGGAGACUCAGACCCGUCAGGUGCCAUUGGUUCAGCCAAGUGCUAUACCCUUGCUGAAUUAAAAGCGUUUGAGGAUCUUCGCAUAGCAUCAAAGCAUGUGGAAAAAUCGUAGCUAGCCGUUUUCUUAGCUUGUUGGCUUUGUAAGUUUGUUUUCCCCAAAGACGACGUUAACUUUAUCCACACCGGAGUCUUCAAAGUGGCUAGCAAGAUGGCUACAUGUGAAUCUUUCAACCUAGCUAUUCAGGUCUUAGCUAAUAUUUAUGAUGGCUUGAGUGUUGUUUCGAACUCUGCAAGCACUGAAGAUCGUGUUGCAGUACUUCCCUACCACUAUGUGUACGGUUGGUUGGGUGAGUACUUUGGCACUCAUUUUUCUUCAUCGAAAUUAGACAAGUUGAGGCAAUCUUCAUGAAAUUCAGUUCAGCUGGUGCCUUUGAUGACAAAGUACUAUGAUGUGCUUUCUGCAAAGAACCUUGAUGAUUUGCAGGCGUAUACAUUAUUUGAGGCUGUGAAGGUUUGAGGAUGGACCAUCUGGCGAGAGUUGGCUCAAUGCAACGAGGCCUUAUAGAUGAUUCACAUUUUCGUUUUUCAGACUUGUCUUAUGUCAUAAGUUUUCGCUCGGGGUACAUUUCUUUGCGAUAAGGAGAUCAAUGUAUUGUUCAGUCAUAUAGUCCUCACCAUUUCAGCAGGCAGUUUGGUUUGGUCCAACAUGUGCCAGGCAAGCUGAAGGAAAACGCAUAGUCGGAAUCCUUGAAAGCUAUGUAUAUGCAUUGGAGUCUUGUACAUGUGGAUGUACAAAUGGCUCUAUCACCCUGUCAGCCAAGGACGAGUUCAAGAGUAAUCCAAUGACCCGUGCCUACGUAGACUGAUGGUCAAAGGUACAUCGUGAAGACUUAGGGACGGCAAGCGAUGCCAAUUCUUCUUAUUCACACAAUGAUGUGCUAAGAGAGGGUUGUUCUACAGUUCUUACGCAGCUGACACCUUUUGAUUGUGCGAGUACACCUCAUUUGCAAGAUGGACCUGCAAUUUUAGCUUAUCAACGCCUAUGCUUGUCUUCUCAACAUUUUGAUGCUUCUGAAAAGGCUGGUGACGAAGUUGAUUUGCACGAAGAUGAACUUGUUUUGUGGUAACAUCCUCAGUUUGAUGGUUGUGUGUCAUUUGAGAAAAAUGUAUGUAUUUCCUUUUUUCUUAUGAUUUCUUAUGCUUUCAUUGGUUUAGCUUUUGUUUCUAACACCUUUCUUUGUCUUCUUUAGGCUGGGCCCUCUUGUUCUUUUGACUUAGCGAACGUGGGCGUUCAUUCCGUUACGGAGAUGCCAUUUGGAGACAAUCUACCUACAAACGAGGAGAUUGGGGAUCCGCCCGGCGCAAAGCUUGUUCCAAAUCUGCCAAGUUACCCAAUUUUGCCGUGUAUAGGUGAAGGUAUACAAGUGCCCGUCAUGCGUCCAACACCUUUGCCAGCUAGCUCUGAGAUCUCUAUGAAAGAACCAAACCUUAGUGGCACUAAGCAUCUUAUCCAUCACAUCAACCUUCACGCGGCCAUGGAUAUUGAGAAGAGGAUUUCAAAAUGCCCAUUGGAGGACCUUCCAUUGCUAAAAGAAGACUUAUCGAAGCUUGUUUCUGCGAUCGAUAACCUUAACGUUGAUUCCUCACUCUUGAGAGCCAAGAUUGCCGAGCUUAUGGCUACCUCAAUUGAGCAUUCUUCUUUGCAUGCCAUAUCCUCGAAGAAGUUGAAUCCAGAGGUUCGAGCUUAGCAACUUGUGGCAAUAGACUUAUCAAUUGCCCAAGUUCAGUCUUCACAGCAAGCCGCUUCAGAAGGUUAUCAAGCCAUAAAGACUUCUUUAGCUUCUGUCCAAGCAUGUUUAAAAGCGUUGCUGGGACAAUAAGAGCAGUUUGAAGUGGAAGCAUCACAACUUCAAGGUGUUCUGUCGAACUAAGAAGCUACACUUUCUCAGGAACAAGAGAAGAUUUCACUCUUAAACAAAGAGAAAAGCAUGACCAUGGAGUUGCCCACCUUGUCUUCUACUGACGUAGAGACUUUGAAGACUUUGGAAGGCUUGCUUGAAGAUCAUCGUCUUAGUUUUAAAGACAUAGCUUUCAAGUAAUGUCUUCCAUUCUUUGUUUUUGCUCAUUUUGUAAUACGGCUUUGUAGCCAAUUCUUCCUUUAAAGAAAUAAAGUAUUCACAUUCUUGAAUUUGCUCUUUAUUCUUCGAAGUAUUUGUGUUUUUGUUGAUGUUGUGACUGUACUUGAAGUUUUAAAGUUUCAAGUUGCCUACGUACCCUUGGUUGAGGAGGGAUCAAAUCAUGACGUAGUUCAAAUGAGUAAUGGAUUGUUUUUGUGGUGGUUUUGACAGUUUUGAUGGUGAUUUUGAAAUUGCUUUUUGUUUUGUUUUGCCGUACACAGUUUAUGGUCUUGCAGGCCAGGCGCGUUGGGUGUCGCCUUUUAAGCUCGUGCGAAUAAGGAGCAUUGUUGCCAUGUGCAAUUUAGGCUCAUGCAGGCGAUGUGCUUUAUGCCAUCUGCAGUUUAGGCUCAUACAGGCUGCAUUAGCUGUCGCCUUUUAAGCUCAUGCGAACAAAAAGCAUUGUUGCCGUGUGCAAUUUAGGCUCAUACAGGUGAGGAGCAUUGCUUUCUUGUUUUAGGGGUAAUAACGUUUUAAGAGUCAACCAUUGAUGGGGCCGAUUAAGUAAGUGUCGUUGGUGUAGACCUCUUGUAUUACGUAAGGUCCAUCCCACUUUGAUGUGAACUUGCUUUUUGUUUUGUGAGUUGUGAUGCUGCGCCUUCAUAAUGCAAAGACAAGAUCUCCAGUUUAGAAAGACCUUGUGCGGAUCUUCUUGUUGAAUGCCUUGAAUAUCUGUGCUUGGUAGCAUUCUAAGUGUUGUUAAGCUUCGAGCUUCCUUUCGUCGAGUGCUUCCAACUCUUAAAGUUAUAGCUUUGCAUUUUCCUCUUCAAUCAAGCCUUCUUGUAUAUCCAUCCUUAAUGAGGAGAUAUGACUUUCGAGUUGCAAAAUAGCUCCAAUGGAACCCUUUUGUGUGGCAAUGUAUAGGAUGAGCAACUUUCCAGGCAUGAGAACUCCUAACAUAGGUGGGCUUGCCAAGUACCUUUUGAUGCUUUUGAAGGCAUUGCGACAGGCGUCAUCCCAUAUGAAUGGAGCAUCCUUCUUCAUGAGUCGACUGAAAGGUUGACAGCAUCCAGCAAGGUUAAAGAUGAAACGCCUAAUGAAGGCUAGCCGUCCUUGUAAACUUUUCAGCUCGUGCAGAUUUUUUGGCUCGGGUAUACUUUGAAUGCCCUUAAUCAUCGAUUGGUCCACUUCAAUGCCACGGUGCUUGACAAUGAAGCUAAGGAACUUCCUAAAGGUGUCACCAAAUGCACACUUUAACGGGUUCAUCUUGAGGUUGUAGUGCCGUAGUUUAUCGAACACCAUUUGUAAAUCCUUCAAGUGAUCGGAUCUCUUCUUGGUCUUGACAACUAUGUCAUCUACGUAACAUUCUAUGUUUUUAUGUAGCAUGUCAUUAAAGAUUUUCUACAUUGCGCGUUGAUAUGUAACUCUAGCGUUCUUCUGACCAAAGGGCAUUACCUUGUAACAGUAAAUACCUUUUGGAGUGCGGAAGGCUGUUAGUUCCUCGUAUUCGAGAGCCAUACAAAUUUAGUUAUAUCCAGAUGAGCCAUCCAUGAAUGAUAGCACCUCGUGGCUAGCAGUCGCAUCCACCAUGAUUUCGAUGAUUGGCAAGGGAAAGUCAUCCUUCGAGCAAACAUCAUUGAGGUCAAGGAAGUCUACAUAAACAUGUAUUUGUCCAGAUUUCUUAAGGACAAUGACGAUGUUGGAUGUCCAUUUAGGGUAUUGCAUCUCUUGAAUGAAGCCCGCUUUGAUAAGUUUGUCAAUCUCGGCCUCAAUUUGUGGGAUGAGCUCAGAUCGAUAGCGUCUUUGAGUUUGCUUUAUCGAUCGCAUUCCAGGCUUGACUACAAGACAAUGCACGACAAUGGUAAGGUCAAGGCUGGGUAUUUCUUUGUAGGUCCAAGCAAAGACGUCUUUGUACUCUAUUAGCAAUUGGUAAUACUUUUCAAUCUCGUCCGCUCUUAGCAGCGCACUUACGAAGAUAGACUUCAGCUCUUCUUUUGUGCCUAAGUUGAGCUCCUUGAGAUCAUCAACCAUGGCUUGCCCCCAUCCUCGAGCUGUGGUGGUGUAGCAGUGAAUGAUUCAAGUGCGAUCAAAGACUGACAUUCAGGGGUGGGUUUAGGCUGCUCUUGAUUUUGUUAAACACUCACGUUGAUAUGUUGAGUACUAACGUUUUUCACUUUACUUGAAAUCUUCGCGAGUGUAUUUGGUGUAAAGCCAAGUCCAGCUUUAUUAUUAUCAACUCCAUAACCAUGCUCUUUCAACUUCUUUUGAGUCUUGGUGAGGUCACAUUCUUUAUUGUUGAUGUUUGCAUUCCUUUUUCCAAGAUUUGAAGAAGAGGCAAAAUCGUACGUAGCAUUUAACAUGAGUUUGUAAGUGUCAUGGUCGAAACCUUCUUCGGUCAUCUUGGUUGGAAGAGAGCUUGGUUCCGCCCUCUUUGGCAGGGGCUUUACGAAACCUUACAGUGGUUUUGAAACUUUAAUGUUGCUUAGCUGUGUUAGAGGUAAAACUGCAUUUGUCUUGAGCAGCUUUUCAUUGUCCUUGUGCAACUAUGUGUCGGUUUUGCUUGUUCCAGUUUCGAAUAGGGAUUGCCCAUUCUUCUUCUCGACAUUGAGAUGUUUUGGAAGACGGGUGUGUUUGGUCCUUUUAAGGGCGUCACACUCUAUUUGGUUAUUGUGGGCUUAGUAGGCUCAUCGUCGUCUUUGCUUGAAGAUGGCACGACUUACCUUUCUUAUUUAUUGGGCACGGUUUGCCACUUCUGCUUUUUGUGUGCGACUUUGCCUGUGGAUUUGAUCUCCUUUGGAAGAGCUUCGGGUACCAUGUCUUCAUUUAUAGAGAACUUGGCAUCCGCGAAAUGUGAUUCGGCUUUGGUGAAUGGCUUGGUGUCGCCUUGUAUCACAUUCACUCCUUCUCGGUAGAACUUUAGGCAUUGGUGAAGGGUGGAAGGCACUACUCCAUUUUUAUGGAUCCAAGGUCUUCCUAAGAGCAAGCUGUAGGAAGUUCUUGUAUCGAUCACGUGGAAUAAAUUGCUUGAUUUGAGUUCACCAAUGGUCAUCUGGACUCGGAUCAUGCCUAUUGCUUUUUAUCCUCCUUGGUUAAAAGCUUGGAUUAAGAGGCAGCUUCAUGAUAGUUCAUCCACCUUGAUGUCGAUUGUGGUCAUUGUUGACUUUGCCAUGAUUCUUUUGGCUGACCCACCAUCCACAAGCAUGCGGUUGAUUUUGUUCUCUCUCACGUACCCAGAUAUGAAGAGAUAAUGGUUGUGAGCUUUGACCCUAGUAGCAAGUCUUCGUCAGUAAAGUUGAUUGCGUUAUGGGCAACGCAUCAUAUGGCAUAUUCAUAUGGCUGAAGCUUCAAGUUUUCAACCUUGCUUUCUUGCACUUCAUGGUCAUCGAGACUCGCCAAGACCGCUGCUAGUGCUUUUCGCAUCUCUUUGGGAAAUCGAAGUGUGCCAACAGACUUUCUUUGGGCGUAAGGGUCUUCUCUUCCUCGACGAUGAUAACUUUGCCUUUUGAGGGCUCUUCUCUCUCUAUUUCAACCAUGUGACAGGCAAUGGUAGUGUACUGUUGGAAGAAAUCCUUUAGAAAGUACUCGUGCAAGGAGAUAGGAACGUGGCUCUUGCUCCAUAGGUUCCCUAACGUAUGUUGGCUUGGCAGCUCUUAAGCUCCUUUUGGGCUUCCUAUUUUUGCGGGGACGAUGAUUUCUCCCUUGUCCCACAUUUGGUCGUGUGGCUUAUGGUUUUGGCUUCCUUGUCUUUUUGUAGGUCACCAAGGUUCAUCAUUCUUCAUUGUCGGUAGGUGCAUCUUGGUCGCUUACCCCUAACGAUAGUUGUGUAGAAGGUGUUGUGUAGCUUGAGCAUGGACAUGAGUGGUCAUGUGUCACUUGGAGAGGCACGGGAUUGAAAGAUCCAAACCUGAUCGUAUUAGUGUGUGUUGCGGUCGUGUCUCCCUGGUCGAGUUCAAUUCGCCCGUGUUAUGCUGGCUUCAUGAUGAGCUCCUUGAGAAUGAAGCACUUACCAACAGGAUGACUAACGAUACGAUAGUAUUUGCAGUACCUAAGAUCGUUAACACAAUUCGUCUCUUCGGGGGGCUUGCAUUUGGGUAGCUCGAUCACCUUCUUUUCCAGUAAGUCACCUACCAUUCCAGCCAUGUCAGAGUCAGGAAAAAGGUACGUCUUCUGCUCCAGUUCCCUCAAGGUGUUUUUGUACCUGUCUUGGGUACGAUAAGGCUCACCUCUCUUCAUCUCUUUCAUUUUGGUCUUGGAUGAGAUCUUGAUGAGUGCAUAUGAGGUCUUGAUAGGGGUAGUGUUGACGGUAAAAGCUUCCUUGGCGGGCUUCUUCUCAGUCUUGUCCAUCUUCGGAGCAAACACCCUGUUCUUCUUGAAGUUGAUGAUUGGCUCAUUUUCCCCAUGAUUGGCGAUACUCAGCUCCCUAUCGUGGGAUCAAGUUGCCAACUCCUCAAACGUUCUCGGUUUUAUGCCUUGGAUGAUGUAAUAUAACCCCAAGUACAUGCCUUGAACACACAUCUCAAUGGCGAAGGUUUCAGAAAAUUGAUCUUUCCAAUCCAAACUUAAUGAACACCAUCUAUUGAUGUAGUCGAUCACAAGUUCAUCCUUCCGCUGCUUCUUACUUGUCAACUCCAGCAUGCUUACUGUGAGGUGGCUGCUGUAAAAGCAGUUGAGGAAUUCCCUUUCAAGCUGGUCCUAACUGUUGAUAGACUUGGGCUUGAGGUCGGUGUACUAGUCAAAGGCAUUACCUUCUAGCAUUACUGCAAGUUUCGAUGUAAUGGGCAAUAUGUUGUUUAGGAUUGCCCUUUCCAUCAAAUUGCAUGAAUUUUAGCAGCUGAUAACCCCUUGGCAUCCUCAAAGCGUCAAUCUUCUUGGAGUAUGACUUUGAUUACAACACGGAGUCGUGUGAGCUUCCUUCGUACUGCGCCUUGAUCGUGCUGGUGACCAUCUUCUGUAGUUGCUGGAUAGAGAGAGAUCCCAUGAACGUUGUUGCUUGGUCCACUUCUCCUCAACUUUUUUCCAUCAGAAGCUUUUCAUCCUCGUUGGUUUCCUUCUUUUGUAUAUCAACCUUUAGUUCGCAGUUAGCUUUUUUGUCGUGCUACGCCUCCAAUCGGUUGACGAACGCGGCAAUUAACAAGUUAUUUUCCUCCACGAUCCUUGUUAGCAUUGCAAUUGCUUCAUUCAUUUGAGCUAGCUGCUCCUCGAUGGAAGUCACACCAGUAGUCAUAACUUGCAUAGCUAUGGGAUACGAGGUGCUGCUUGAGUCGGCAUCAAAAGUCAAUGACUCGGAGUACCUCCUCAGGCUUUCUUCCUUUGGCGCCCUUAGCAAGGCCAAGGUGAUCACACAUUGGUGCCUCAGGUGUUUUUGCUCAUUCGACAGGUUUGGUGUAGGGGUGGAAGGCACGGCAGAGAGAGCACUUGCCUUGCUUUGGGUUUUAAAGCCUAAAAUGCCACCACUUGUGGUAAGGAUGUUCUUGUUCUUCGCAUUGGUUGCGGCAAGGAUGUUCUUGCCAUUUGUGCUUCUUGUGGAUUUGAAGACAGAGAUGAGAGGCGGAGAUGUCCCACCAGGCGUGCCAAAUCUGUAAACAUGAAAAUUAUGUAUCGAAUGAAACAAGAACACGUGUACAAAGUAGAUUUGUAUUGAUGACUUUAUAGGGUUACAAUCUCUGUUUACAACUUUCCUCUUAUUCAGUCUUUAAAUUUGAUGUAAAUGGCGUAGGUUGUUGAUCUAAGGGUCGCGAUGACUUGAUCUCGGACGAAUGAUUGAACGAUUGCUUCAAGUUUUGAGCUUGAAACAACGCUUGGAUGGUCUUCACCUUAAAGCUGCGACAAAGGUAGUGUAGAUGUGAGAUUUCAUUAAUUCAAGGGUCUUGGCGAAUUGAUUUUGAAUCGAACGUUUGUUACAAGUUUUGAGCUUGCAACAAAGUCUUGAAGGAAUCGGCGCAAGUACUUGUUGAUUCUUCAAGGGAAUGUUUCGGCUUUGGUCAAAAAAAAGCUUCGCCUUUGGUUGUGCGUUCUUCGAAGAGAGCUUUAGCAGCAUAUUAGUCUUCAAAGAUUUGGCAGAAAUUCUCCCUUUCUGAAAAUUUCAACCCUUUAAUGUAGAAAUUGUCAACCUUAUGCUUGUCUUGGGACCUUGUAUUUAUAGACUUCCAAAGCCAUGCCUUUGGAUGGAUUUGGCUCUGAUUUGUGUCUAAAUUUGUCCAUGGGAGAAUUUAGGCAUGUUUUGUGUCUUAAUUUCAGCCACUUUCCCUUGCUUGGCCUAAUUAUAGGGUUUUCUUGCCUAUUUUGUGAGCAAUCUUCAAUUCUUGCUUGUUUUGUGAAGAUGUUUUAACUUUCUUUCCGGUUUUGGGAGCAAUUUGGGCCCCUUGCCGAUUUUAAAGGAUUUCUUCCCCUUUUUGCCGAGUUUUAGGGAAGUUUUAUUCUUCCUUUGCUUGAUUUGUGCCACAUGUCAUUGAUGACUUAUCCAUUUGUGAUAGGUCAUAUGCUACAUGGAACUUUGUAGAAACUCCAAGUUGGAAUCUCGUAAUUCUGGGAAAUACCAUUGAAGCCAGAGCUGCACCAUCCAGAUAACUUUAUUGACGUUCGUCUCGAAGGGCUAGUGCCUUGUCAUCUCAUAAAGCAGAUGAUAGAGAUGUACCAAAACAAAGGGACCGGUGGCGACAUUGUCGAAGGAAUGCAGCGCCUCCACCAAAGGGAUCUAUUCCAACUUCACUUAUUUGAAUUUGUUGGGGAACACAUGUUUGUUCAACCAAUAUAAGAUAAAGUACAUGUGCUUCUCAGCUAGGUCAGCAGUGGGGGAAUACGGGUUGAACAUAUUCUUGGGAAAAGGGAUGAAGCUCACGAAAGAGGUCUCAUAACUCUUAAAGGUGGUAGAGUUAUACUCUAAGCUGGUGAUAGACUGAGAAGCUUCUAAGCCUUUAGCAGAAGGAUGUAAGGGUGAUGACCAAUCGUGUGUAAUGUCUACACACCUGCCCAAUGACCUGAAACCAAAGACCUAAGCCAUAUCUAUGAUGGUGGAAUACAUGGGACCCACUCUGAAAUCAAAAGUAUUGGUCCCUGUGUUCCAGAAAAUGAGAGCUGUUGAGAGAAGCUCAUGCUUGUUGGGCAUAGUAGUCUUGGACAUCAUGAUAAGCUCAUAGAUGUCAUUUGCCAUCCAUUUCUUCUUCCAUAUAGGCUCUUAUUCAUCCACCCACUUGGACUAGGCUUCAUCCUUCAUUAAGGGGAAACCCCGAGACCACUUUGAAGCAGAGAUUUCUACCUCAGCAGUGUAAGGAUUGGGAGUGAACCAGUUGGCAACGAGCAUGUUGCUUUCCACAACAACAAGAACUCUGGAAGUCUAACCCGAGGACCAUGAAGGUCAUUGAGCUGACAAGAAAGAAUGACAAUUCUUUCUCCAACAUGUAGGGUAUGAUUUAGGAGCCAUUGUUGAAUUCGAUAGCAAAAAGCACUUUUCAAGGGCAUGGAUAGGUAAAUAAACGAUGACUCACCAUGUUCUGGAGGCCAUCACCAAAAAUGGGAGGCUUAGACAGUCAGGCUAGAGAGUCUAUAAAAGCAAUGAAAGACAUAAGGAAGAAGGACACUCAACUAAUCAAUCAAAAGACAUCCAACUUUGCACUCCAACAAGCACGAAACGAAAAAGCUUUAGUUUGUUCAAACUUUACCCUUUUAGUCGCAAGUCCACCAUAGAAAGCCAUCUUUUGUCAAGUUUUAGAAGCUCUGCUACCUUUCCCCUGUGUUCUAGUAAACCCGAUUUAUAUUUCAUUCUCCAAAGAUUACAACCCCUGUAAAACACAAAGAUAAGUGGUUGCAAGAAGACAAAUCUUGCCUGACAGGGUCAUAAUCUUGCCCGAGUCUCUUUGUUUGUACUUACAUAAAGUAGAUAUGUUGUUUUAUGCAUCUUUCAUUGUAUCCUAUAUCAUUUUCGACUGGUUUUUGUUCAAAAUUUCAUCUAUGAUUAAUCUUCCUAAACUAAUUAAUCUUGCUUCUUUAGUGUUAACCGUAACCAAAGAAAUAAUUUGAAGGGCCCUAAACUCUCUUUAAUUGGACAUAUGAUAUUAUGAGUAAAAGUCCUUAUUUACAAGGCAAGAAAAAGAACUUUGUACAAAGUCUAAAUAACUUGUGGCGCAAGUAAUUAACCCAUUUAAUAACCAAAAAAGAACAAUUUGUUAUACAAAGAUAACGGUGGCAUGCUCAGACCCAUAUUAGUUUUGAUUGUAAACCUCAAGGCCUAAGAAAUGCCCCACAAAGGCACCAUUCAAACUAAUAACAAACUCAUAUUGCAAUACACCAAGCAACAAACCUUGCCCGACAGGCAAGAGCCAGGGGAAUUAUGCGAGGGACAGAUCUAGCCCUAACACGAUUGUUUUGCUCUUAUAUGUUCCUUUCUUGUUAAAUCUACUUAUCUCGUGAAUGAACGAAAGUUCAAUAUAAUGUCUUUGAAACUCAAAAGAUUAUAGUAACAAAACAUAUCCAAUUGGAAACUACAUAUUCUUUAACAGUUUCACGACAGAAAAGGUAAAACUUAUACAAGCUACCCGAAUUUCUGAAAAUCUUGCUGCUUUUGCCAAACUUUGUAAUUCUCUCUCUAUUCUCUCAUUUCCCGACACAUUGGUAUUCAUUCGAUACACAUCAAACAGAGACAAACUUUUAGCAGAAAGACUUGUUUUAGGGGCUUCUUGUAUCACCAUAUCCACCACUAUAACUUUUCCGUUGUCUAGCAAGGCCUUAUAGCAAUUCUUCAAUAUCAUCAAGCAUCAAUCGCCAUCCCAACUGUGUAGUAUCCAUUGUUAAUAAAAUCAUUUACAUUAGUUGAAAGUUGUCGAAAGUGUAACUAGUCAAAUGAUAUUGGGUUCGAUCAAUUUGAACACGAAGCUUAAGUGUAGGGGUAAACAAGCUAGAGUGCCCACACUUUUAUUGAAAUUUUUAAUUCAGCCAAAGUCGAUGUUUGCUUUUGAACAUGCUUUGUAAAUAAGCAGUUGAAUAAUUCUUAGAAGCCUUACCUUCAUGAAAAUGGCAUCACCUUACGGAAUCCUUAUAAACAUAUCUCCUGCAAUGUGCUCUAUACAUGUAGCAAAACUCCUCUGUAAGUUAGCAAAGCAAAGCAAACUACAAAAAGCUACAUGAAAUUGACCAAUGGUAAGCAAAAAAUUUAUAUCAUACCAGGAUAGAAGGGAGACUUUUUGACAACCAAAGGCAAAUCAUAGUUGAUGCCCUUGAUGGCAGGGUGCUUGGGGAUUAUCCUGUUAAGAAUAGUACCGUCGCCACCACCCACAUCUACCAGUGUACGUAGACCUUCAAAACCCGUAUAAAUCUCCAGAAUCUCCUUCUUAAAAAUGAGGUUAAACACUUUCAUUGAGUCCUUGAACACACCACCAAGUCUGUCAUCCCUACCAAUGUAAUCCACCACAUUCAUACCAUAGGCCUUGCUAAAUGGGAGUCCUCCUUCCAAAACUGCAUCUUUCAAAUGGUACCUGCAUAAACGAUGACAUAUGAAGAUGACUGCACUGAUGCAAAAGAAAUGAACUUUGUUCGAUUCUUUACUUGCAAAUAAAUCAUUGUUUGAUGCGUAUAGAUAAAUUACUCGUUUAUAACACAACAUGAAAAGUUUUUGCACACGUGUCAGACUGUAAGUUAAAACAAAAAUGAUUAAAUUAACAAGGUUUUGUAAAAGGUUGUAAUAGUACCAGCUAUCUAAGAUGACCUUGUCAUGGCAAAAAUUGAGCAAUAGUGCCAGAGACACACCAUCCUAGUUCUUAAUAAAGUACUUGGAGACAGGUGCCAACCCAUAAACCCUAAUAACCUUCCCAUUAGCUUGGAUUGUCGAGCAAGUGAGAACAGAGUAAGCGGAAAGAAGGCGAAGCAUGCCAUCAAGAACCGACGUGGCAUCCAGAUUGUGGAGAGUUAAAAGCUGAGACGCUAUUUGGGAAGGCAAAAAAAGGGCUCCGGCGCCAGCUCUGUGGAUAAUGUCAAGCACACCAAGCCCUGUGGCUGCUUUAAGCACCAUAGGCAAUGCUGAUACGUUUGCCAAUUGCAUAGCAUAUUGGGAGUCAACUUCCUUUUCUCUAUUAAUGGUGGACAUUUUCAGCAGUUUUUUUCCUUGUUUUGGAGUUCUUAUUUUUUGUUUCGAAUGCUUGUGUAUAUUGUUGUGAUUUUUUUUUUUGUUUGGAAUGCUUGUUUAUAUUGUUGUGAAAUGUUAAAUAGGCAUGAGAGGUGAAAAGGGUUUUCAAAUUCAUCACGAUUCUGAAUUUGUUUGGUUGCUAGAUGAAGAAAUUGUGCAUGAGACUAAUCAAAAUUGCAUAUAUUAUUAGUAUAAAAAAUACAACCGAAGAAAAAGGUAAGAAUUUUGAGAGAGAGAGAGAGAGAGAGAGAGAGAGAGAGAAAGAGAGAGAGAGAGAGAGAGUGGAAGGCAAUUCAAGAAAUGUGGACGAAGCAUCGCUUGAUAAAAUUGUAUCCAUGGUAGUUUCAUAAAUUGCAAAAGUGACUUUUGAAUUUGGAAGUUUGCUCGGCAUUUAGGAUGCGGCUCUACAAUUUUCCUCUCCAUGAAGGUUGCAGAACAUCGAAAGGGUUUCAAUUUUGGGGGUGAUUGGUUUAAAUUAAAAGGGUGUUUGUGUCUAUUCAAGUGAACAUUUUGUUAUAUUUGAAAGUUUAUAUAAAAACUGACAUUUUUUAAAUUAAGACAAAUUUUGGCUAUUAAUGAUAAACACUCAUUUGAUUGCACCAUUUUAUAUUUAAAGUUGGUUUUCUUCAAGGAGACGAAAUCAUAACACAAGGCAAUGUGUUAGUGGAUGGAGUAAGGAGCUCCUAAAGUUAUGGCAUUGGAAGUAGGAUUCUCUCCCCUCUUAGUUUCCCUUCCCUCCCAUCAUAUUUGAACGAUUAUGGUUAGACUAUGUGUUGUGUUAAUUUUUUAAUAACUAGAAGAAGAUAAAAACAAUUUAUGAGAGUAUGGAAGAGAAGGGAUGGAAAAAGAUGAGAGAGAAUCCGACACCAUGACAUUAAUUAAGCCAAGUAUUGUACAAUUCUCAAAUAACUUUAUUAUUGUAGCAAAUUCAAAUGGACAUCAACAAUAUCGACAUCAUUGUGAUACUUUAUUGAUUCUAAUGUAAAUUACAUACCUUUUAUUUUCGUAUUUAUUCUUAAACUUAAAAAUGAAAUGAAAAAUAAAAAUAGUUUCAAUAUCUAUUUCAGAUAAAUAGACAUACUACUGAAACACUCAAACUAAAGUAGACCAUUUUUUGAGGUCAUUUGUGUACUUGUCCAAAGCUAGUGACAUGAAAUUGCACGCACAUGUUCAAAUGGGUUUAAACAAGUCUAAGCAGCACUCAGUUGCAAGUCCUUUAUUCCAGAAUUUCUCAUAGUACUCGGCAUAUGUGAAGUUUCUGUACAUGGCUGGGUGGUCAUAGUUGAUGAGCUCCUUGGCAGGCCCAAUUACUGCAUCUGGUGAUGGACAAUAGAAAGUUGGGAUCGAUAUUCUCUCUGAGUUACAAUUUACCACAGCUCUAUGGAGUACACUCUUGUACCGAUUGUUGCUAAUUACCUGAUACCAAAUAAAAUGGUAAAAAGGUUAAAAAUCAAUUACAAAUUUUACUCCUGUGUUACAAAACUUUGUCCCUCUACUUGGACAAGUCCCCCUUGCUAGGGAGAAAUGAGCUUAAUUAUCUCGAGAGUGAUGUCAUCAUCUAUUAUUUCACGUCUCAUGUAACUAAUCAGGUGAGAAAAAAGACAAAGAAGUCAAGAUUUCACGCCGUGGGGGUAUUUUCCAAUAUGCUCCUAGAAUUUGUAUUCCCCAGAUGAUCUUUUGUUUGAUAACAUACACCGAAACAUAAUAAAUGCAGGAUAUAGAGUUUACCUGCAUCAUAUCCCCAAUAUUGACAAUGAAAGUGUUGGGAAUAGGGUUGACAGCAACCCACUUGCCAUUUCUAAGGACCUGCAAUCCAGGCACUUCAUCUUGGAGAAGGACGGUGAUUAGGUUGGCAUCAGUAUGUCCAGGCAAUCCAUAAGUCAGCUCUGGUUGAGGACAAGGUGGAUAGUAAUUCAAAGCCAUAUGCUGCCCUUGCUUCCCCAAUGCCUUAACAAUACAGUUCUUUUCCAAGCCCAAACUCUCUGAUAUGGCCUCAAGCAAUCUCAGCACCAAUCCUCUCACAUUUGUGCAGUACUCACCCACUUGCU